rnacentral:lncRNA from 1 species
AGAGAGAGAGAGAGAGAGAGAGAGAGAGCAGAUGAUCGAUGAUCAUCGAUCACUAUAUAUAUACCUGCAAGUUUGGGAAGGGCUCUCCAGCUCCCAUGACCGUGUUUCUGUAUGUAAUUCAUGAGCUUCUGAUCUUCUUCAGGAGUCCAGGGACCUUUCUUGAGUCCACUAUCAUCGCAACACGGAGACCUUCCCAUUUUUCCUCUACCUAAUAAGUGAGAAUAUUUGGCUGCCUCCUUCCGAUCCAACCUUCAAUGAUAGCUUUCUAUUUAUAUACAAUCCAUGUUGUCGUUGCCUCCAAUCACAUCGAAAUUGACUGACGUGCUAGUCUCCUAUUUGCUAGCAGAACAACUCUACCCUUUUCCUGAGCCAAAUGACAAGCAUGCCCUCCCCUACCACAAACCCUAAUGCCCCCCUAAUCGCCUAUGACUUAUAUAUUACAUAUUUAGAUAAUAAAUUAUGAUUGUUUUGGUUUGACAAAUUAAAAGUGUCUCGGCUAAUUAUGAUUAAGUGGCUAAUUAACGAUGACCCAUAUGGCUAAUGUGGGGACUAAUGUUCUGUGAUGGAUCAAAUUAAGAUCUGUGUUGCUCGUCACUAGUUAUAAUUCAUAGUAGUGUGCUCGAUUCACCAAAGUUUUGCUUUAAUAUCACGUUGGUGCAUGGGCUACGACAAAAUGGAAAAUGUCAAGCUGAGCAGGUUAUAACUUGAGAGCUAAUAUUAUUCAUGAAAAAUUAUGAUCAAGUGCAAGUGCGGCGGCUCUUCCCCUAUAUGGAUUUUCGCUGUGUGAUUUUCGCUCUCUCUCUCUCUCUCUCAAUAUAUAUAUAUAUAUAUAUAUAUAUAUAUAUUAUACUACUAAUACCAUAUACUGCUAACAUGAGUUGAGAGUAUCAACGAUGAUAUCCUUAAAGGUUUUCUGAAUCCAAAGACUAAUUAGUCGUGAAUUAAUAAACGAAAUCUUAUUCGUUAAUGUCCGAUUGCAUGCCUAGCUUGUUGCAUUUCCUCGAUCACACUUUGAAUUUUCUGCAACUUCGAAUUCUUUGAGAUAAGUCGUUAAACCUAACCUUAUAACGCAGAGACUUUGAAAGUUCGGGAUCGAUCUAUUUCGUACAAGAAACUUGAGAAUUUGGCAUAAUUUCCCCUAUAUAUUCGUUCAUAUAUGCAUGUAUGUAUAUAUUAUGUAGUGCGUUUGAAUUAGGGCAUGCAUUAAGGCAAAUAAUAAUGGAAAGGGGGAAGUCAGCAACAGGGAACAGGUGGCACGUCACCGGUGGGUGGAGAAACUCAUCCAUGCACGCAACGAGACCCUCUUGGUUUCGUCACUGAUUGCAUGGCUUGCUCGAUCUCUCACAAAUUAAUAUCGAUCAUCAAUUAUAUUUAAUUAUUCACGUACCUUGCUAUAAACUAAUUAAGCUGCAUGGGUCCUCGAUAUGAAAUAUUUGGCCAGCUUACGCAUCACCUUAUUAGUACCCAGUCUCCUCGCAAUUUGCCUUCGUUCGUUCACCACCUUUCUCACCGGAGAAAGAAUAAAAUUAAGACCAAAUUAGCUAUUUAAGAAAUUAAAGGCUAGGCAGAAAGGGGUACAUAGUACUAUAAUUAGCGAGCCCUACAACGAUACAUCUAAUCAUCCCAUGUUAGUGCAAGUAUAUAAACUUAUACUAUCAGCAAGCAGGUUGGUGUUCAUUAAGAUAUUUAUCUUCACUUUUAGUGAUUUAAGUAUACAUCAAAAAUCCCACACCAAAAAAGAGAGGAGUAUUAACCAAAUGCAUACCAUAUAUAGACAAUUAUAAUCCUACUAGCUUUAUCUCAGAAGAUUUGACCAGAUACAUUAAUUUUUUAGCUAUGAUCAAAUAAUACAAGCGUCCAUUUUUCUAAAAAAAAAAAUUAAAAAAAAUGCUCACAUAAAGCUCUGUAUAUAUAUGGUUUUCAAUUAAUCUGGACUUUGAUAAGUCAGCUAUAAAUAAAUAUAUUAUAUAUAUACACACACAAGUUCCUAUUUAGAACGAAGCUUCGCUCUGAAAUUAAAGUGUGAAGUUCCUUGUUUGACUCAGUUUUUCGUCAUAUUUCCACAUCUCCAUUGUUCAUAUUAUUGAUACUAAUGUAUAGAUCAUUCGUACAAAAUUUCAUCAAGAUUGAUGAUCGUUUAGGUACUGAAUUAGAUCAAAUCAAUGAAUGGACCAUAAAUUUGUCUAACCAGAACUGUUUGUGUAAAUAACGAUUAUGAAAACACAAACGAUCAUCAAAUUAGAUGAAACUUUACAUAAGUAAUCUAUACAUUAGGUUCUACAAACUAAAUGGUGAAGAUGUGAAAAUAUGAUGAAAAAAUGAGUCAAAUAAGGAAUUUCACACUUUAAUUUCAGAGCGAAGUUUCGCUCUGGAUAGAAACUGUAUACAUAAUAUAUAUAUAUAUAUAUAUUUUGAGAGAGAUCUGAUUUUGGUUAUUUAUGCUUAAUAUAUUCUACUAAUUAAGCAUAAGAAUGACAUGAUCAUAUAUAUGAUAAUAUGGGUCUCAACUCUCAAGCCCUGAAUUAGGGAACGUUUACGUGAGUUUUUGGUAGUUGAUGGCGGGUUGAAUUAUUUAAAUAGAAACGCAGCCACCCAGAUCCAUUGCUUUUCUGCUUAAUUUCUAGGGUUUGGACCAAAAGAAAGAGUUUGAUCCGUACGUAUAAAACCAAUUCUUUACUCGAUCUCAAUCUUUAGAAACCUCGCAGUUUCUAAUCAAUAGCUGAUUAAGCAGGUAAGCUAUAAGUAUAUUCCCCCUAACCCCCUGACAUAUGUGAAUGAUACGCUCUCUGUACGUAUUAGAAUACCUCAGUCGCUCGAUUACUCUUAUUUUCAUUUAGCUUGCCAAAUACUCGAUCUCUGUAUUAAAAUACCUUAAUCACUCGAUUACUCUUUCAAUUUAGUUUGCUUUUGGCAAACAAGGUUCCAGUAUUAACAGAAUUUCUCAUCAGUUACCUCAUAUAUAUGAACUAGCUUUAAACUUCAUAUAUAUACCAAGACCAAUCACAGAAGAUAGCUUCUUUAAUCACAGAAGAUGUUGAUUAAUUAUCAGAAUAAAUUAAUCACAUUUCUUCCAAUUAUGUACCCAGAAGUGCUAACAGUACUAUAUAACUUGUCUAUUACUCGUGUAUUUGUUAUUUAAGUUUUGCAAUACUUACACAAGGAUAAGGACGUGAGUGUGACCCGUUUGACCGUUGAGAUGAUUAGACAAGAAGUUGGUGCGGCAAGCGCUCUAAUUUCCAACCCUAGCCUUUAAAAUCUCAUGAAAUUGAAUUGAUGCAUCGAUCCUAGCUUGCUUUCUUCUUCUCCAGCUAUAACCUGAUCAAGAAUGCAUCAAUGGCAUUUGUUGAUGGCUAGCUAUCUUCGUCCUAUAUCCUUUGUCCUGCUAGGAAAACAGAUCGAGAUCUAUAUAUUCAUUUCGAUCCAAAAAAGUAGGAAGAUGCAUGAGAAGAUCGAUGUAGGUGAAGCAAGCGGCUAGCUAGCUUGAAUUAAUUUGGACAAUAGAAAAUACUCAUGAUCAAUAAAGGAAUGCCAUCAUCAUUUAUUUAUUUUUUGAAUAAAGAGCUGGUAUGGCUGCCAUCAAAUCUUAAUGAAAUGUCAUCGUCUAUGUAUGGUUUAGUCUGUUAAUACUCCCUUCACAGUUUUUUUCUUAAUAUUGGAGUCAAAAUAGUACGCACACGCACACAUAAUCAAGUAGAUCGAAGAUAGGUAGAAAAUUAAACUUUGACAUGAAUUUCAAACAAAAAGUCUUCCUGAAAUCAAUUCAGAUCCAAUUCCAAGCAAAAUUAAUUAGUUCCACUUCAAAUGCUGGAUAUAUACGUGCAUGUGUGUUAUACGUACAAAGACGUAAUUAAAAACAUGUAGAGCGUAUAGAUUGGGAUCGUUAUAUAACAUAAAAUGCUCGAUUUCCGUCUAAUUAAUCGAGAAUAAACUUGUAUAUGUUUUCUUGUUACUGAAGCAAUCGAGCUCUGUUAAACUAACUCGUAGUAAAGCAUCACAUAUUAAAAUUGGCACUUGUAUAUUUAGGUCAAAGCAACAAGGACGUUCAAGAACAGUGAGAAUCCCAUUAGUUUUCUUUCUUUUAAUUUUUGUUCUCCCUAACCCUCUGACCUCAUUUUGCUGUCGGUACAAGUUUUACUCCUCCUUAAAAAGGUUCUCAAAUCUUGAGUUCUUGACUUCAUUGAGAGAGACGAAGGAAACCCAUCAAGACUAAUUAGGGUUUUAACAUUAAUAUUAACCUCUCUCAUAUAAAAGAUUGCUUCUUCAACUCAAUUAAGGUUCCUUGUCGGAUGGACCAUCAUCAUCUCACCAUCAAAACAAAGUAGUAAUAAUUGGAAACGAGGCAGGUUUUAGAUAAACAAAUAAUAUGUGGCUAGGUCAAGUGAUGUCACGUAAACAGAAUAGGAGAGUAAUGUUGAAUAGAAAAGAUCAAUAAGUUUAUAGCUGUGUGUAGUGUCAGCUAAACAACUGAAUUGCUUGCUCUCUUAAGUUUCUACCCAAUACAUCUAAACUCGGACUUUCUAUGCCUUCCCUAGCCACGUAUGCGUCAUUUUCUUUCUCUCCCAUCACUCCUAUCUUUCCAGGACAAAAGAAAUCUCCCAUUUAAUAUUAGCAUGAUAUAGUAAACGGAGGCAAGAUAUUGUAAACCACCAUUCAUGAUUUGGUUUUGUUUUUGAGUUUUCGAAAGAUACAUGCAAAGAAUUCGAUCUAAUUGAUGAUAUUGAUGUCUUAAUUUUCAAAGAAACAAGAGUGAAUAUUGAUGUCAUCGACUGCAGGGUGCUGGCCUGGAGUAGAUUGAUCAUCGAAUUUUGUAGAUCAAUUUCAGUGUUUAUCAGUAAAUUCAUCUAAUAUUGAAGAUCAAUUUCAGUAUUUUUGCUGUUCUUUAAUGGUGUGUGAGAACAUAAUAUUGAUUAAAUUCAUGAAUUAGCAGGCUGCUGCCUGUUUUGUCAAGAUAUGAAAAAGGGCUUAGGUAGAACGAAGAUAUGUUGAGUGAGGAUGAAGAGUGCAAAGAUGAAUUGACUAAUUUAAUGAUGUUAAUGAGAGGAAAUAUGGCAAGCAACUCGCUUAAUUCAUCUCAACCCAGAAAGUCUGCCGGCCAUUGGAUCUCACAGUGGGAAAAGGUUGAAGUUUUUGAUGAUAGAGUAAUUAUGUGUGUCGACUCAACUUUCAAGCAGUUUCCAUUCAGCUUUAUUACAUCACAAAUUAAAGAACCCAGAAAGGUAGUGUUUGAAGUUAGAGGCUUAUCGAUGAGUAGCUAUGACCUUACGUACUAAAAACACGACUCCCUGAUGACUCAAAACUCAAAUCGUGUUCGAAGGUAUAGACUCAACGAGUAUGACCAGUAGUACUAUGCAGAUCAAACCCAGGUUUCUAAAUCUGGCUUUUCUGCAGUAGUGCUCUGAAAACCCUAGCUGGUUUCCAGAUUAGUUUUACCAAAUACUUUCUAUAAUUAGUUAGAUUUCACUAUCGUCAUCUUAUUAAUCUUGCUUCUACGGUUCUACCUGAAAAUUGAAACCUCAUUUGAAUCCUAGCUUUCUCAAAGUAUAGACUGGAGGAUUUGAUCAAUACGUAGUACAGUGCAGAUCAACCCUAGAUUUCUGAAGUCUGACAAACCCAACUGAUCGAGCUUGAUCAAAUAGUUUCUAUCGAACCCUUUCCAUUUUUAGUGGGGUUUCAUUGUCGUCAUCGUUUAUCAGCUAGUUGUGGUUGAUCUCCUUCCUGGCAAAUUAAACCUUGUUUAUUUUCUAAAUGAACUGAGGGUGGUUUCAUCUCCUCUAACAUCGAAAAUGACAGUUAGAAUAACAAGUAUUGUGAAGUGCUCGAAUUAACAAAUAGAAACUGCACCAAAGAAGCAACCCAAGCUUUGUUUCUAUAUAUGAGAACUAUCAAACACUCCAUUACGUCUAUUACACGUGAACUGCGAUGGAGCAUUCAUCGAACAACAACUUCACUCUUUAGUCUUUAGUCUAUUCCAAACCCUUCAUAACCCAACAACCCUAAUACAAAGCACAAAAUUUGCCUGUGGGGUCUUGUAAAUCUAUGCUAAUUUCAUCAUAUCUUUACCGUUUCGAAUCACAAAUAACGUGUCCAUGUAACGAAAGGCUAAGGGUUUCUUUCUUCCAUAGUAGUUCUUAUAUAUCGUAUAUCUAUAUUCCUUCGAACCCUAUUGGUUUUGACUAAAGCUGGCAUAUAUACACGGUUGCCAUCACCUUUCUAUAUAUAAGAUGCUCUCUGCAAUAUUACUUAUAAUGAAAAGAUUCAACUUAUAAUAUAUAGUUUCUUCCUAACUGAUAGUAUGACAGUAUGACUCCAAAUCAUGCAUAUUUUCUAAUGCAAUCUAUCUCGAUCAGAGACGAUCAACCAUUUCUGAAUGCUUUUUCCUCACUCUUCAUUUACAGACUACCAAGGCAUCCAUUUUUCUCAACCAUUAUGCCUAAUCUUGUUGAACAGAAACUCAAGCAAACACACAAGCACAUUGUAAACUACUGUCACGUCGUAUGCUGUAUUAAUUAUUUCAUUGUUAGCCAGUAGUUCAGUACUACUGGAUUUGUAGAUAUGAACGAUUCCAAAUGCUCAACAAACUUGACGUUCAAAUAUACAUAUCAAUUGCUCUAUAUAUUAAUAUAUAGGAUGAUAAUCAUGUUCUCUUAGUGAUCGAGUGACGGGAGUAUUGUUUUUAUGAUCAAGUAGUACUCAUCAGCAUAUACAGUAUAUGAUAGUGUUUAUUCAUAUAUAUGCAGAAAACUUGAUCCCAUUACCAUGUAAAUUGAUUGACACCCCGGAUAUACGAAAAUGUUCAAUUUUAUUUCGGAAAAUGAUUUAGCCUUAAUAAAGCCUAAAAUUUAUGGUUUUAAUCUUAGGUGCAUGUUAUAUCACCUAGACACAUUACCAAUUAAAAAGAUUAUGUCAUUUCGUUCUUAAGCAAAAAUAUAAUCUUAUCAUUUUAAAUCCAAUGGCUCUAGAUUAUUUUAUCUUUUAAUUAAGACAAAGAAAUUGAUUUGUCUUUCUUUUAUAAAUAAAAAAUAUAUAUUUCUAGCAUUUUCUUUCUCUUUUUCUUUUCAUCAUCAUCAUGCUUUGAUUGAACGUAAUAUAUAGUGUGAAAAUACAUAUAUUUCUGAGAAUAUACUUGUUCAAAAACACGAAUUCUUAUGAAAUAUAUAUAUAUACAUAUAUAAUUUGUCCAAGAAAAAACAAUUUCGUCCAGGUUUUUUUUUUUUACAUAUAUAUAUAUGUAUAUGUAUAUACAUGCUUUUUUGGCUAAGGAGGUCCUUAUUUAUUCUUAUGGUGCGGAUUUCCAAUUUAGACUCACUUUUCAAUCGAAUUUUUACAUCUUCACCAUCUAGUGUUUAGAUACUAAUGUAUAGACUAUCUCUACAAAAUUUCAGUCAAUUUGGUUAUCAUUAAGGCACUCAAAUUCGAUUAAACCAAUGGAUGAACAUAAUUCUGUCGAACUUGAACCGUUCAUGUUUAUUACAGAAAAACACAGUUUUGAGUGCCUUAAUAAUAAUCAAAUUGGCUGAAAUUUUACAGAGAUGAUCUAUACAUUAAUAUCUAAAGACUAAAUGGUGGAGAUAUGAAAAUUCGAUUGAAAGUGAGUCUAAAGUGGAAACCCGCACUGUAAAAAUAAAUAAAAACCUCCUUAGCCAAGAAAGACUGUAUGUGUGUGUGUAUAUAUAUAUAAUUCGUUUAAAAUAAAGUAUAUAUAUAUACGUAAUCAUCCAAAAAAAAUUCGGUUGAGAUUUUUCAUAUUUCUAUUUUUUUUUUAAAAUUUGAUACAUAGAUAUCAUAAUUUUAAACUGCAAAAAUAAAAUAUUAAAAUAGAACAAAAUUUCGAUUCACAAAGAUAGAAAGAAAUUUUAAUAAAUUUACGAAAUUGAUUUAUGGUAUAAAAGCUUAAUUUGGUAUGAUUAUUAACUUGGUCAUUAUUAUUAAUAAAUUAACUAAAUUUGGUAUAUACGCAUCCAUAUUAAAAGGUUAAGAAAAUAUUUCAUAUUACCUAGGUGUCAGAUAUCAAAUUAGAGCAUUCAACCAGGUAUAUACACUACAUAUACGUACGAAGAAGAUGACCGCUUAUAAUUUGAGGUUUUUUUUGUACUUUAUUUUUUGGGUUUUUUAAGGGUGUAUAGAUGAUCGUCGAAUGUUUAAAGUUUAAACCUAUAUAAUGGAUUGUUCUACGUACACUUCUACAAUGAGAUAUAUUACUUUAUGAAAAGUCAUAUAUUACUAUGUGUUAAUUAUAAUUGUUAAUCCCAUAUAUAUAUAUUAACAUGUACCUUAAUUUCAUAAUAAUGAUAAUAUUAUGUGAUUCAAACUAAUACCAUAAUAACUUGAUCUUAAUUUUCAAUUUACCACAAUCUCCGUCAAAUAAAAAAAAAUCAAUAUACAUCUAUGCCAGUGAGUGGUGAGGCACUUCUAGGGUCCAUUUGUUUGCUAAUGUGGCUAUACUAAUGACAUGACAAAAUUAAAGGUUUAAAUUAUGAAAAUUAAAUGAAAUUAUAUUACAGUUUUCGAUACAUUAUUUUGGAAGAAUAAAACGAAAAAUUGAUUGAAAAGAUGUCAAUAAAAGUUUAUAAUUUCACAGAGAUAUUGCUGUAAAUUGACAUAACUAUGAAUGGACUAAAAAUCUAUACUUUGGCGAAGAAGAUGUGAAGUGUAAAGUAAAAGAUGUUAUAUAAUUUUUAAAUGCACAAAAAUAAGAAAACUAAAGCUCAUUCCAAUGAAACUCUUAUCUCUUAGCUCGUUCAAAUGAUUCUUAUAAAAAAGACAUUAUUACCCUUUGUGUGAUUAAACCCACAUAUAUUUUAUCUCUUUUUCCUUCUCCUCUUUCUCCUCCGACGCAAAUACUCUCUCUCUCUCUCUCUCUCUCUCUCUCUCUCUCUACAUUGAGCUAAGCUAUGACAGCCGCACUGGUGUGCUGGUUGAGCCGUGCGAGCACGGAAGAGGACAUGGUGGAGCAGGCCAUGCUGAUGAGGACAGAGGACAGAUCGGAGGGGAUGAGCUCUUCGUUUUCGUCGGCGGAGAGCUCCGCCGCCGUUGCCGAAGUCAAGGAGUCGUCGGCGAUGCAGAAGAAGCUGUAGAGGCUGAGCAGGAACGUCUCCGAGGCAAUCGCGUCGCUUAAGAACUCGCUGAAUCUUGACUCGGCUACUGAGUUUCAAACGACGUCGUCUAAGAUCGAUAGCUGUAGGAAGGGGGUGUGGCGGAGUGUGGUGAGGAAUCUUACUUAGCUCCAUCUAGGGAGUCAGUUACCGGAGAAACUCGUCUAUAAUCUUCGCAAACAUUAUGAUUCUCUUCCCCUCAUGUUAAUUUUAGAGCUUUUUUACUUAGAUUUAAUUAAUUGACCACAGUAAAUUUUUGUUCUGAGUAGUUUGUUUUAGCUUACUGAUUUCGGUUUUGUUGAACAGCUAUGCUCAAGCCGGGUUUGAGAUGAAAGAAGUGUUUCUUCAUAUAAAAUUGAUAGAGCAGGCGGCAGUGGAUGACUACCCUGCAAUGUUGAUUCAAGAGGUUUCGGAGCAUGAAGCUCAGGGGUCUGUAUACAAGCUCACAUUUGCUUGUAACUCUACGGUUUCACGGCCGGUGAUGUCUAAUGCGCUUGAAACGGCAUCCAUUUGCUGUAAGAAAGUACAGAUCUUUGAGAAGAAGGGAUGUACUCUCGGCAUUGUUCUACUUCUAGUUCAAGGCGGGCAGGAGAAGUCGUUCAGAAGUAGUUUUAUUGGGGGUCAGUAACUAAUUAUUGGGGGUCAGUAACUCAAUUACUGAGGGUCAGUAACUGGUUACUGGGUGUCAGUAACUGGUCAGUGGGGGUCAGUAACUGUACUGGGUGUCAGUAAUUGGUUAUUAAUUGGUUAGUUGUUGGUUAUUGGGGGUCAGUAACUGGUUACUGGGGAAAUUCCGGUGACCGGAGUCCGGCUGUCGGGGAAAUUCCGGUGACCGGAGUCCGAGGUUCCGGCCAAGUCUUUUCAUGUUGAAGAGGUGAGGGCAAAAUAGUCUUAAAAUAAUAUAGUUUGUUAAGACUUUAGUAAAGAUUUGGCCAUUUGGGCACAAAAAAAGUUUACUUUCAUUCAAAUGGGCUCAUAGAAAAGAUUGUCAUUGGAAUGGGCAAUGAAGGGUUACAAUUAAUUAGUACUAAAUGGGCAUUUUCCUUUUUUAAAAUCAUAAGUUUGAGCUAGCUAUAAAUACUUAUGAUGGUAGUCUUUUGUUUGGCUAGGAGUACAUUGAUGAUUUCAAUGGUUAAAUUAAACUUCAUUGCAAGAUGAUAUGGCAUAAUAUGCUAGAACAAUUUUAUCUAUAUGUUUCGGACGUGGGGCUGAGUCUCUUAGCUAGGCUAUGUUCCAAACUUCUAUUUAAAAAAUAAACAAUAUAUGUUUUGAGGGAGGGGUUCUAAUGAAAACCACUAAGUUGAGAACUCAAAAUAUGUAUUUAAACAUCAUUUUAACAUAUAAUGAAGUCAAACACAAUACACAAUGGUGUUGUUAUUAUUAUAUGCACUCUUCGCUAACCCUAAUACCAAAUAAUUCUAAAGAUGGCUCAAUAAGCUUAGUCUUAAUUGUGUAUCCAGUUAAGUUUCUAGCGGUUUUAUGCAUAAAACACUGAGAAAUGAUGAAACUUUGAAGAUCAAGUUCUUCAGAAUUCAGAGCAUACAGUAUAUAGAGUAUAGGCCAUUUAUAGAAAAGUAUAUAUUUGCCCUUUUCAAUGGUUAGCUACCCCUUCAAUCCUCCAUUAUUUAUUAUAUUACUUCACCAAAAAAAUGCUUAAACCACCUCUUAAUAUAUAAUGAAAAUACAGAUAUCAUUUAGGUAAAUGAUCUGCAAAGUGAUAUCCUAAAAGGUGCUAACCCAAGUGACAUAUUUUAAUAUCUUUAAAUUGGAAUCUUAUGUGUUAAAAAUUUCUCCAACAAGAAGUUCGAAUUCUACGAUCAGUAUCAUUUAAUCUGGUAGCAUAUUCUUUCAUUCGUAAGUGAGAAGUUGUGAAUUCGGGAUCAGAAAGACUAAUUGUAGCGUUUGAGUUGUUUAUUUGAUACUGAGCUAGCUAUAUGUAACAAUCAACCUAUACUUGUAAGGAUGGAAAUGACCGAGAGGAUUCCAACAAAAUCCAAGUAAGAUUCAAAGUUAAAGGACUUGACUUUAGAUUAGGACUAAUAUAGUUUCGAGUCGUAUUUCAUUUAAAGGGGUUUGGAUCCCAAACCAAGCUGGGAGGCUCAUCUCCACGACUUAUUAUUCAUAGAGUACAUCCCGAAUAAUAACGGGCGUCUCCCCUAACCAUACAUGAUCUACCAAACUACCAUUAACAAGAUGACUAAUCUAUUAACCACACCAUUAUUUGCUUCUUGGAAAAUAUGCUUAAUCUGAAUAGAGUGUGUAAAGAUGUCAAAUAUUAUGACUUACAAUAUUCGAUAAUGCACCUUGCCUCAGAUCUAUCCGCCACAUCAUCCACAUCAUUGAUCAAAGAAUUCACCGCAAUAAAGCAGUCACACUCUAAAUCAAACUCGUUAAAAUUUUGGUGGAUAGCAAGAAGAAUACAUGCUCUAACGGCAUCCGCCUCCAUAUGCAAAGCUGACAAUUCAAAUGCAAAAUGACGUGCAAAGGCAGCUAGACACAUACCAUCGUUUCGAGUUGUUUCUGAUUAACUAAAAAUUACCGCUUAAGAAAUUGAAUCAUGUUUGGGCUAACCUAUUGAUCACACGGUUGUUAAAUUUGAAGCCUAAUUAAGGUCUAAAUUUUGUUCUAUAACUAUAUUUUUUGGAAAAUGAUUGUAAAAUUUAAAAUUUUUAUAGGAUAUUUUUAUUUUUAUUUUUAUCUAAGAUUAUAAACCAUAUUCGGAAACUCAAAUGACAGUUGAGCACCACUUGAAGAACACUCAUCAAGUAGGGGAACAUGAUUAGGUAUCAUAAACUGUGCAGCACACCAUGGUGUGAUUCCAUCCUUGACAACGAUUUAACGAUUUUCUUUCUUUCUUCUGGUAGAGAUCCAUGACACCGAUUAAGAUUUACUGGAGUUUGCUUUUGAUGCAGGGUUUUCACAACAUCUACAAAAACCGAUUAAUUCUUUGGAGCUUCUACUUGUAUUGAAGGUGAAGUACUUAAGAGUUUAUUUUGUUCAAAUGUGUGCCAGCUUCCUAAACUAUGGUGUUAUAAUGUUAUAACUCAAUCCCGUCCGAUCCUGUGCAGUUCAACGUAACAAACACACCCUUACUCUAUUCCAGCAUUCCUACUCUGCCCAUUAACUACGGUUCGAUAUCUCUGUGUAUUCACAAUUCUGUAAAUAAAGCAGGUUUAAACAGAUUUUGCUACCAGGAAAUGAAACCCUGGGGCACAACUCUCUUUGCAGACUUGACAUUUCAGUGUCAUGGAAUAGAAGAGACUCCUUCAUUGCUAUAGUCCAGCUCGUGGAUCUUUUUGGAGAUGGAGUUAAGCGUACUAGCAUCAGUAUUUCUUUUAAAGGGUGGCUGGGAAUGACGAAUCGGUAUUAGUCACCUGGCAUUUGUACCAUUUACUUCAGUUUCAUCAGUCCUUGAAAUAAAAACUAGGGUGAGGGAUGUGACCCAAGUAGAAUGAGAUGAUCGAUCUCAUGCAUCAUCUAUGAAUCUGAUUUGAAAGUUGAAACCAUUUUGAAAUGUUGGAGAUGAUUUGCCACUGAAAAUGCAUUCAAGCACACAGCGAAAUAACCUUUUUUUUUUUUUUGGCUGAAACACAGCAAAAUAUCUUGAAUUAGUAUUAUAGAUUACUAGAUAUUGUUUGGUCUGUGGUGCUCCUUCGAGGAGCUUGUACAACUUUAAGAAGUGAUGGUUUGGCCUGGAAUAUGCUUGUCAAUUUCUUGUAGCCGUGCCUCUACGAGGCCUGGCCAAUUAGGACCUCAUCACCGUCAUUGUCAUUGCCUCGAGCAGAUCACGUCCCAGUAAGAAAGUCUAUUGCAUAGGGAAUGGCUAGUGAAUCGGACACUAUAGUCGUACUGAGAAUACGAAGAUUUUGCCAUAAGAGAACUUCCACAAUUUCCAAACACUCGUACGCAAUCUUAACCAGGGGCAUUACACGAAGCGUCUCAUUUGAAUGUCCAAUUGCCAAAAUGAAUUGAACUCAUUGUGGAAAUACGCACAACCAUAGAGCUUCAGAUCAGCGUAGUAGCUAAACUUCUGAAACAUAUCAUGGCAGUCAUACUUUUUCGGCUUUCCCAUGUUAUAAAGGAGAUGGGGGAGUUCACUCUGGCUUGGUCGUGAGGGUAAAUGUUCAUUACUAGUCAUACUGUGUAAAUUAAAACCUACCCCCCAUUUACAUACUUCCACUUCUGAUAUAACAUGGGUUAGAGACCUAGAUCUGGGAGAUGCAAUAAGCUGUUCAGCUUUAGCCUCUAUAGAAAAGAUGACUCGAUCAAUAUUCUGAUCGGGGCACAGGCACAUCCUGAGGCUACCUAGAACAAGCUUGUUUGCUUUCACGCAGGGAAAUGUACAGCCAUUGUUUCCCUACCUCAAUAAGCCAUUGUCUGAAUGGCAGUUUCACAUAACUGGUAUCUUGAUCGGUGAUUUGAAGGCAUCAACCAGAUAACAAUCAUAACUAUCCAGAAAUGGUAAUUUCUGGUGUCUAGAAAUAGCAAUCAAUCCACCCUCUAUCCAAAUGAGAUGUGUAAUGAGAAAGACCAGACAAUCAUAUAACCAAUCCUAGCUAGCGACAGAAUAUCAUUAACAUGAAUUGUUUUGCAGUUUGCACUAAGAAAUCCAUUUCCAUUGAAACAAAACGAUGAUCAACAAGUAUAUGAUUCACACAGCCAGACCCAUAUUCUAAGCACUAGAGUUCAGUAGCAUUCUGAUCAACACAAUAACUUGUAUAUAUAUAUCCAACAAUUCAUAACAUUAUUGAAGGCGUACCUUAAGAAUUUUCACACCCUGACUUUCCAUAAGCAAAACCAACACGAAGCUGAGCAAAUGACCGCCAAAAAACUGAUCAUAACUUGAUGUAGCAAAUGUCCAGUAAAAAGCUAUAGUGUAUAAGAGAAAUGAAAGAGAGAUCACAACAAAGGAAUCAUCAGGUCUCUUUCUCUCCCAUGAUAUAUAUAGAUAUAUCUUAGUUGAUUGGUUAUAAAAGGGUCAAGGAACUUUCUGCAUGGAAAGCUUUCAGAUCACAUGAUAUAUGGAGUAGGAAUAGAUUGCCAUCACAUAGAUGUGUCCAUGAUUACAUCCACCAGAUCAUUGGACUUAUGAUAUAAAAGAAUCUAGUCAAAGCUUUAAAAUUUUCAGUGCAAAGCACAUGGAGUUGGUAAAACUGAAUACAAUUCAUAAACAGAUUAGGCUAUGCUCCCAUGAGGGCAUCCCCAUAUGCUUUUCCAUGUCCCUUCCCUUCCAAUGAUUGUAAUAAAACUAUAACCACAAGUGUUAAUUCAUAUUAUGAGGGCCCACAUGAAUACAUAAACCAGAUUAAGAAUGCAUAUAGGCUGGAAAGCUUUGCAGGCUUCCACAUUAUGACUUCUGCAGCGUGAAAAUGGCACAGCAAGUUCAAGCUGCCAUUUCCAACUUUGAAAGUACUGAGAAGGGAUUACUAAACAAUUAAGGAAAUCCAUAUGAUUUAAGUUCUAUCACUAUAUAAUACAAAGCUGGUGGUCUAUCCUGUAAAAGGAAAAGGAAUCUUUGAUUUCUUCUUUAACAAACAAAUCCGUGUUUGGUCAUAAAUCCAGGACAAACACAGAUUGUCAAUUCCUAAUUUGAAUGAUUAGCCAGAAAAUAGUAGAUUCUUAUCUGUCUAUAUAAGGCCAACAAUGAGGUCAAAGUAACUGUCAAUGUCCAUUACAAUGGACAUGAUAUUCAAAGAGCUCUCAUUAUUGUUUCGUUCUAUGGACAUGAUAUUCAAAGAGCUCUCAUUAUUGUUUCGUUCUAUCAACAGCCUAACUAGUAGCCUAGCACAAUUAGACCAGAGAGAAGACCAGAGAAAGGAACAAACCAAUCUUUAGAAGAAAAUCCCAAAUGCUUAUCCACAAAUUGGGAUUUCCACCUUGCCUACGAAUUCACAGAUAACACUUCCAAAUAAUGGAACUGAACCUUACAAAGACAAGAAAAAAGUAUUCCCUACGAUUACCAUCAACUAUGAUCUAAAGUAUUAGCUGCUUGCAGCAUUGACAGCGAAAGUUCCACUCUGCACUUAUGAAUAAAUGCACAGUUCCUGCCAAUUAACAAGACUCAUGAUUGGAUGAUAUGAUGGAAAUUUAAGGGAGAAGUAAUCAUAAAAACCAGUUCCAAUUCCAGGAAAAUCAGUAAGGGAUCACUUAUUCUCCACAAAUUCCAAAAUAUGACGCUAAAUAUAGAAAUUUAAAAUUGGAAGGAGUGCAAAACCAGUCACUGGAUUUGGGAGAUCAAGUGCACCAUCAUCCUUCCCUUAUUAUCAUGUUUCCAAUCCCCCACCAUUCUUGUCCAUUUCCUUUUUGGCUUCGCAUAUUGACAAAGUUUCUUUCUCUUCUUAUCUGGAUAUCACUGUGUAGAUGUCUAGGCUUCUCUUCAAAGCAGAGAUAAGCAUCUUCUGCAUAGAAAAAUUGUGCUGCUGAUACGACAUAAGUCAAAUCCACAAGUGACAAGCCACCCCCAACUAGUUUUUAUCCUCCUCAGAUGUAGGAUGUUUUUCAUCAUUAAAGCCAUGGAGAUCUGGAAAAGCCAUUCAAAAUUAUGCCUUCAUAAUCUGAAGAAAAGGGAACUGGAUAUCGCUAAUGAACUUAAGCUUCACACAAACUUUUUUAGUACAAAGAAUGAAGGGCUAUGCCACUGAACAGAGAAAUGGGACGCAGUGAAAAAGCUAUAUGAGAAGCAGGGAAAUCAGCGAAAUAGAGAGAACCGCUUUCUGCUCUAGAGUAUGCUUGAGACUGAGAAUCUGUGGACUUAUUUGCAAUGGAAACCAAACAAUUAGAAGAGUUGUCUCUGGUGUGCAGUUAAGAAAAAUCCCCCUUACUAGUACAUUCAAGCAAAAGAGAGAUUUCCUCUUUAACAGACGAAUCCAUGUUUACAGUACAAAGUACCAUUUCUCUCAAAACAAUCAAAUCGUAGUUGGACUGACGCAAUGCUAACAAGAUUCCCCAUCUAUAUACAAAGCCAAUAAUGAAGUUAAAGUUGGCAUCAAUGUCAAUUUGAACGGACAAGCUUCUAAAGAACUUACAAACUUGGCAAACUGUUCAGAUAAGGAGAAAGACAAGCUUUAGAAGAAGAACCAAAAUGAUCAUCCUCCAAUUGGGUUAAUACUUUCCUAGAGAGAAGACAGACUUUCAACCAAAUAAGUUCCGAAGAGAGUCAAAUCAAACUCAGAGGCAGCACUUUCAUUUUAUUCAAAAGAUAAGAUAAAAAUAAGGACUAGGUUCAUGCUUGCAGGCUUGCAGCAUUACACCAAAAGGCCAAACUUCAAUUAACCCAUAUGACUAGAUGCUCAUUGCCUACCAUCCAACAUGGGCUUGGGAAAUAUGGUUUCAAAGUCAACAAAAGAAGUGGAGUCUACCUGGAUUUCAAGAUAAAAAUGAACAAGAUCCAUUUAGAUAAGGGGAUUUUAUUACUAAUAUCAGAACAGUGAGUAAAACCACAUUAAAGUCCCUUGUGAUUUUGUGUAAUUAGUAAUUACAGAUGUCUUCCCCUUGGACUAACACUAACCUCCUCUUGGAUUCAUACUACAUCCUCUCUGUGAUUGACACUGUAUCCACAGGUUGCUAGAAAAGAAACUUCUUUGGAAUUCCAAGAUUAAUACCAUUGGCGAACUCCCUAAAGCCACUGCAUUAUUCGACAAAAUAGUCCAAACAGAAGUCUCCUCUCUCCACGGUAGUUUAAGAGUUCAAGUCAGUAAUGAUAAUAACUAAAUAGAAUGAAGAACCAUGAUUAAGUUCUAUUACGAGUAUAUGCUUGAGUCUAAUGCUAUUAAGUGUCUGAUUGAGUCUUAUACUGAGGCAUAGAGCCUUUUAAAUUUUCCAGGAAAUGUAUUGGUAAUACCCCUAUUCGCUGCAAAUCAGAGCAGAUUGGAAUUAGCAAAAUUAAGUCUUGUUGAAACCCUGGUGCCCUAGUGUCUCCUCUCUUGCUUGUUCUCUCUCUUCUCCAAACUUCAUUCCCAAUUUCUUACUAAAGCAGCUAUAAACCUUCCCUCAGUUUCUAUCUUUCUAAUCCUACCAUAACCAUACAUCACAGUAAUAAGUUGAUUCAUUUUUAACACGUUAGAUUUCAUUUUUUAUAUGACUAGAAUACCAACCAUGGACUAUACCAAAAUAAUGAAAAACAUAGACAACAGAAAUUAGGAAUGCAAACUCACAACCAAGGCAAACAUGUUAUAGAACUCUCAAAUCUCUAAAGUGGUGUUAGGUAUCCAAAUAGUGCAUUGUAACAAGCAAGACAAACAUUUCAAGUAGAAAUCCAAGUAAUUUUGUGUUUAGAUACUGAUUUAAAAUUCCCCUGUAAAGGGGCAUUAGCAAUGCGAUUAUAACAAAACCAUAGCCUCAGUCUCUUUUUCACACUCCCUCAGUCAACAUGAGUCUCAAACACCAAAUGGUACAUCCAAGUUCACACAACUCAUAUUGCAACAUUACAACAAUCUUGACAGAUACAAUGGAAUACAAUAUUCAAUCAACUAAGAAACAUAAAGCUAAUAUUAGAGGAACGCAAAUCACAGCCAAUCAACCCACAUUACCAUAAUUUAUAUCCAAAAUAUUCAAUACAUAGAAAGAAUGUUACCUCUUACUAGCAACAACCAAAACCGGCAACAGCUCAACUUUCCUCCAAGCUUGAAAAAUGUACCAAACCAACUCUCUCAUUCUCCGGCAAGACAGACCAAUUCGGCGACUGAACUGCCCUCAACCACAAAAAGUCAUCCACAUUACCCCAAUUCUCCGUCUCCUCAUCAAGACUAGUCUCCCUAAGCUCCUCCUCAAUCCCAUCAUACCUCAAACAGUAUGGCGCAAACCUCACCCCACAGCUGUCCUCAAUUAUAGGCCUGCUCCUCACUCUCAGAUAAAAAUCACACUUCUUCGCAUUAUGAAUACGAAUCUGAUGCGAAGCCAUAACAAAAACACACUCCUCAACUCCUUCAAUCAGUACCGAACCGGUCACCGGCCCAGUAUAAACCCUACAAUUCCUCAACCUAUGCACAAAUAGGGCCCUCACAGACCCCAUCAGCCUCACCUCGCAUGAAUCCAGGUCCGAAAUCGUAAACUCUCCGAUUUCUGACCCCGAAAACUUCCUCACUAAUGUCUCCCCUUUCUUGCUCCAAAUCCCCGGCGACGCCGGAACUUUGAACUCCGGCUUCUCCGGCUCCUUCUCCGGCUCCUUCUCCUUCGGUUUCGGCUCGCUCUUUGAUUUGUUUCGGAAAGAGAAUUUCUUCUUCGGCAGAAGCUCGGCGCUGAGAUUUUCUAGGGUUUGUCGCAGAUCGGAGAUCGUUUUGAGCGACGAUCGGAGUUCGUAGGAGGGGAGGAAGUAGGAGUUUUCGGCGACGAGCUUCUCGAGGUCGGAGAUGGAGGCGGAGAUUUGGUCGAGGUGGGGCUUGAGGUCGUCGGCGGGGAGGCGGCGGGAGAGGGAGAGCUGGGAAUCGACGGAGGAUUUGGAGGCGGAGAAGCGGGAGAGGAAGGCGGAGGUGGACUCGAAGGAAGGGGAGGGGUCGGAAUCGGAGCGGCGCGUGAGGGAGGUGUCGAGGCGGGAUUGGUGGCGGUGGGUGAGGCGGUCGAGCAUGGAUUGGUGCUUCUUUUGGAGGGAGGGGUCGGAAUCUAGGGAUUCUUGGGUAGGGUUUGGUGAGAGAGGUGAUUCAUUUUCCAUGAUAUGGGGUUGAGGGAACUGAGGGUUUGAGUAUUUAUACGUUGGUGUAUUUUUGAAAUGGGAGCAGCACCGUGUUAACUACUGAGUAGUAAGACGGUGAGUACUGAGUAGUGACUGAGAAAUUCACUUUUUUACCCAUAUUGUUUUUUUUUAUUUUUACCAACAAAGUAACAGGAAGAUAUUGUUUGGACACUUGCUGAGCAGUCAUCAAAAUUCUUUAGAAAGUUCUACGAUUUUUGAGUUGUGUGGUUGUAUUUCUCGAAUCUUGAGAUCCCUUAGGUAGAGAUCGAAGUCGUUUUGUCUAUUUUCAAGCACAAGGGUAUGAUAGUCAGGAUGAGGCGAUUUGACCAUAGAAAGUGAACUUUUUUUCUUUUGAAGGGUAAGAUAACAUUUUCAAGCACAGCUCGGGCAUGGAGCAACAACCAUUGAUCCAGCAUUGGAGAUAAGGCGAGAGGCCAAGUAGUGACUCCCCAUGGACAUAAGAGGAGAGUGUGCUAUGUAGACUCGGGAAUGAUCGGAGCACCUUUUGUCUGAAGGAAUAGGAAAGGAAGUGUGAAGUGGGAGAGAGGACUUGAGGUCCAGAAGCAUGAGAGAACUGAUAAGUAGACUUAACCACAUCUUAACAAUUUUAUGUUCAAUGCUGUUGUAUAUGAUCAACUGCAAGCCUUCUGCAGAGAUUAAGUAUUCAACUAAACUCCAGUUCCUGUAUUCAGUCCGACACAUUGGCUUACUAGUCUCCCUAGUCUAGGUGAGUAUCACACUAUAUUAAGAUUGUAGAAGUGUCACUAACCCAUGCUGAAGAAUAUCUAUCAUUCAAAACAAUAUUGAUUGGGAACAUGAGAAAAGAACGAAUUCAGUGGACUUGAGAGGAAAAUACCACGUGACCCCACCCGUUAACAACAGAUUAUACACAAAUUGUCUGGAGGAAUUGAGCGAUUUAAGCCAAGAAAAUCUCAUAUUUCUAAUUUGCAUAGGUAGACCGUAGACUACAUGGUAUUUGCUGGAUACAUAACUCAAGCAGAUUUUGCAGCUUCGGCGGCUUCUGCAGCUGCUUCUUCCUCUUGCAACUUCUUCAAGGACGGAGGUGGUCUGACAAUAAUGCUUCUCUUCCAUUGUCGGUCAAACUUUCUUGAUAAUCUCUUACCAAUUCCAUCCUCGAUCUCUCUUUCCCGCUUAACAGUGAGCAAGCGAGCAAUCUACAAUUCAAAACAAACUUCAACUGAGUAGGGUACUAAUGAGAAGUAUCACCAACAACUGCAAAAACUCUUCAUUCAACAGUCGAGCAGUUUCUAACUCAGAUGACAAGUGUAACUAAGAGAUACCAUGGAUGCAUCAAAGCUCAAGUACACGAGACCAAGAUUGAAGCAACAUUGAGAACCCAGGGUUGAAUACUUUAAGUUGAUGCUUAAAAUAAUCCCAAAAUCCACUAAUCAUUCAAUCCAAACUCAGAAGUUGCAGCCAAAAAGAACUUCAGUUUUCUUAAGAAAAACAAUACAAAAUAACAAAAAAACAAAAAGCAGGAGAGUUUUAUGGGAUUUUAGUCAGCUUUAUUUCUUCUGCAUUCUUGGAAAAGCAAUUUGUUUUCUUUUAAUACAAACAGGAACUUCCCUACAAAAAAAGAAAAGAAAUACAAACAAGAACUUUGCAAUAUUUUUAAGUGAGCUUCACAGAACUUACUUAUCUGUGGGGGUUUUAACAGACCGUAGAGUUAAGUGACACACUACAAGUGUUGUAAGUGAAGCUUUUAAGUGAAAGAUUUCUGUCGAAGUUUCAAUUAUGUGUUCUAUAUAGGUCUCCAGUUCCCACACUACAAGUGUUUUUGACUUCGAAGAAUAAAAAUUACGAAUACAAAGACUCCAGUUGUCAUCAUAUACUAACUUUUGGCUUCAUUCUGACAACUUAUAAGGGCUCUCACAGAAUCGAUAGUCAUUUUCCUAUGCAGCAAAAAUCUUAUUUCAGCUAAAAUCAUGCCAGCCAAUUCAAAAAAUUGGAAAAGUUUCAUUUCCAUUCCCUUCCUCAUUUGUUUCUCUCUCAAGUCUCAACAAACAAUUUUCGGAUAAGUUGACUAAAGUAAAAUCUUCAUUAUCACAAUUGUAAUCAGUUAUCAAUUCAUUUGCAGAAAUAAUCUUUAAUUUUGAUGACACUCACACUUAAAACUGCUGAGAACAAGCCAAAAUUCAAGUACAGGAGACUGAAAAAUCAAGCAAUGAAACUCUAGUGAACUAGCAAUACAAAACUCAGCUGUAUAAACAGUUCUUGCAAAGCUUUUACACCGAAUUGCGUGGUGAUCUUAGCACACUUUAAGAGUCAAAUGACACACUCUAAGUCUAUAACAUCCAGCAUUGAAAAUCGCAUACAGCCACACACACCUCAGAUACGUUAACGGCUUACAUAAAUUACUAAACUUUAUAGGUUACUCUAUCAAAUUCAUGACCUCCUAUGAAAACUAAUCUCGCUAAUAAACACCUUAAACCACAAAAUUUUCAUUUCCCAUCCACAUUUUUCGCAAUUUCAUUCAAAUCAAGAUAAGUUAUAUGAAUUAUUCAAAAAAAAGAAAAAAGAAGAAAGAUAAGUUAUAUGAAAAUGAGUACCCUUUUGCGCAUACGCCGGAACUCGCUGGAAGUGAACUCAUUCCUGGCCGAUUUCUGGAGACGAAGCAUGAAGAGCUCUCCUUUAAGGUCGACGACCUCCUCGUUGAUUUCCUCGGUCGUCUUGGUUCUGAUUUCCUUCAUCUCUUCCUCUCUCUUGGCCAUCAUCACCACCGAGGAGGACGGCGAGCUGGAGCGCCGAAACGACGCCGUGGGGAGGCGAAUGGCGACGGGGCAGACGUGUUGGAGUCUGAGGCCGGUGAAGGAGGACUUGGGGAUGGGCGAGAGGAGCUUUUGGGGUAGUACAACCGUGGAAGGCGGAGCUAUGGAGAUUGCGCCCAACAUUGUUUGGUCUUCUUGAGUUCGACUUGAGCGAGCUCUCGAGCGUGUGUGAAGUGUUGGGUUUUGGGAUUGUGUAGAUAAGGCUUUUGAGCGCGUCCCAAUCCAAAACCCCCUUUUUACCUUCACUAUUUUUUUUUACUUUUUUAUCUUGAAGGCUUUCUUACCAGUAGCCUAUGAAAACGAAGUGGAUUUAAGUCAUUUAACUAGGUUGAAAUUUUAUGGUGUUGCACUUGCAUCGUCAUAUGCGGCAACUUGACAAAAUGAGGCUGAUUAGAAGUAUAGAUAGUUUUACAACAAUGAAACUCACUUCUUAGAUCUUGGAUAGAAUAACUACUCACGAAUUGAUUAGAACUAUUCUCGUUUCUACACGUAGAUGCUGCUUCCACUCGACAAUGCAUAUAAUUGUGAUGCCCUUGAUACGUCAAGCUGAGACUUCAUAAAACAGUAAUGAAAAAUAAAUCUAUGUCAUCUUGUUUCAUAUCAAUUGAAAACCGUUUUCACAAACUUUAUCAAUUAAAAAGAGUAAAGAACCACAAUAAUAGACUAAAACAAUCAAAGCCUAAUAAAAAAAUCCUUGAUCUACAGGUGCUCUCAAACCGCCUAAAGCCUCUGCUGGAUUUAGUGAUAGCCCUUAAUCAAAGUACCUUUGUUCCGGGAAGACAAAUUGCUGACAACUCUCUUCUGGCCUUUGAGGUUUCCCAUCACUUGAAACGGUUGUACAACGCAGCAUAUGGUUUUGGGGCAUUGAAGUUGGACAUGAGUAAAGCCUACGAUAGGGUUGAGUGGGAUUUUUUGGAGAGGGUUAUGCAGAAUAUGGAGUUUAACAAUCAGUGGAUCAAGUGGAUCAUGGACUGUGUCUCUACGCUAUCUUAUUCUUUUAUCUUAAACGGAGAACCAAGGGGCAGAUUGGUACCCUCGAGGGGUAUAAGGCAGAGGGAUUCAAUCUCACCCUAUCUAUUUUUGUUAUGUGCUGAAGGUUUGUCGAGAAUGUUGACUUAUGCAGAGAGUCGGGGUUUUAUUCAUGGGGUGGUUGUAGCGCCAGGAGCUCCCUCCAUAAACCACCUAUUUUUCAUGAAUGAUUCUUCGUGUUCUGAGGAAGAGGAAUGUACUAGGUUGAAGAAUAUCCUCCAGGCAUAUGAAGAAGCAAGUGGAUAGCAAGUCCACUUCCAAAAAAAAAUGUGAUCUCUUUCUCAAAAAAUGUGGACCUGAAUAUGUAGAAUCAGUUGGCAGCUUUGUUUGGAGUUGAGCGAGCUAACAAGCACAAGAAAUAUUUAGGGCUCCCUACUGAGGUAAGCUAUUCCAAGAUAGAAGCUUUUGCAUAUGUUAUGGAUAAAACGAAAGAGUAAAUGAAGGGUUGGAAAGACCUGACACUUAGUGCUGCUGGAAGGAAGAUCAUGAUCAAGUCAAUGGUCCAAUACAUUCCUACAUAUGUUAUGAGCAUCUUUGAGCUGCUGAAACAUAUUUGCAACGAGUUACACAGGUGUAUGGCUGGGUUUUGGUGGGGUGAUUCUGAGAAGGGUAAGAAGAUCCAUUGGCUUACAUGGGAACGGUUGUGUGCUUCGAAGGAGGAGGGAGGUCUAGGGUUUUUAAAAAUAUGGAACUGUUCAAUUAGGCCCUCUUAGCGAAACAGGUAUGGAGGCUGAUGCAGCAACCAGACUCACUAGCUUCAAGAGUCCUAUGUGCUAAAUAUUAUCCUGAUGGAUCGAUCCUGUCAGCCAAAGCAAAUUCGGGUGCAUCAUAUGCGUGGAGGAGUCUUGUAAAAGGGAAAGAGCUUUUAUCUAAAGGCAUUUGUUAUCAAAUAGGGUCAGGUAGUGAUAUUUCAGUUUGGCAAGAUCCUUGGAUACCUAGACCGUACACAAUCAGGCCUUACUCUGGGAUGAUGGAAUGGUUGGAAGAGCUGUAGGUCGAAGACCUAAUUGAUCUGGAUAGCAAGGAAUGGAUGAGAGAUUGGUUAGAGGAGUUAUUCUUUGUAGAUGAGGUGGAGUUGAUCAUGCGCAUACCUCUAAGUCUUCGUAACUGAGAAGAUAAGCUAAUUUGGCAUUUUGAUAAACACAACCUCUAUUCUGUGAGGAGUGGAUAUUAUGUAGCUAGGAGGCUGAGGUUGGAACAGAUAGGAGGCCCCUCUUCAGUUUUAAAUAGUAACUCUUCUUUAUGGAAGAAGAUAUGGAAAGUGAAGGUGCUGCCAAAGGUAAAAAACUUUGUUUGGAGGUUGGUUAAAAAUAUUGUCCCUACAAAAGAAGUAUUAAGCAACAGAGUACCUUUGCCGGACCAACUAUGUCCAUUCUGCUAUGACGAGACCGAGUCCUUGAUGCACCUCUUUAAGAACUGUAAUGUGGUGGUGUGUAUUUGGCUUUUUAGCCCGUUGGGUCUGAGAGCAAGACACUCUGAAGUGAAGACCGUAGAAGCUUGGAUCCAUGAUAUGCUGGAGAACUUACAGGUGCACAAAUGGAGGUAUUUUUUAUGCUUCUCUGGUCAAUUUGGGUUGAACGUAACAAUGUUGUUUGGGAUGGUUCAAGAGUGGAUCCUAGGGAGACGGUGAGAUGGGCAAGGGCUUUGUUGGAUGAGUACAAGCGAGCUCAACCUGUUGCAAAUAAGAGACAGAGAAGUAGACAAGAAGCGAGGUGGACUUUUCCUCCUAGAGGCAAACUUAAACUCAACCUCGACGGAGCUUAUAGAGAGGACGGAUCUGGAGAAGCUGGUAUGCUGGUGGGAGAUGAGAAGGGUAAUGUUAAGGGAGCGUCGUCAGUGCAUUUGUCCAAUUCAAAUUCUCCCCUACAGGCCGAGGCUAUGGCAUGCAGAGAAGGGUUGAAGAGAGCAGUAGAAUAAGGUUGGCUCGACAUUGAUGUGGAGAGUGAUUGUGAAGUCUUGGUGGCAACUCUGAAUGGUGAGAACAGUGACUGCUUGGAGGUUAGUCGGAUUAUUGAAGAUUGUCGUGAUUAUUUGAUUUUAUUGAACAAUAGUGUGGACGUCCUCUAUGAGGAUUUAUGUAAUGCUUCUAGUGCAUUCCGAGGUAAAGGUAUUACGUCCCCCUCGGUGGUACAUAAUUCUAUUAAUAUUAAUAACGGGCGUGAGGCUGAGGCUCUAUGUAGGCUGGGUUCUAAACUUUUUUUUUUUACAAAAAAAAAAAAAAACCUUGAUCUAUAUACCACCAUUAUCUAUGUCAUCUUGGUUCGUAUUGGAGACAAGGAUGCCUUCUCCUUAUUACUAUCACACACUGUCUGGAUUGCUUGAACAUAUGUUGAAAAACACCUACAAAAAUGUGUUCGUCGGGAUAGCUUUAUAUGUAUAGAGUUGUCUCACAAUGAAAUAACUCGUAGGUUGUCAUUGAGAUUGCAGAAAUCGACCCAACACCAACAGAGUAGCCACAGACUAACCGUCAUCUAACUAAACCAACCUUAACCCUAGCACAUAGACUACUUGAGAGAGAAGGUAUGUUCAGAUAAUGUCACUUUGGUCGGAAAAUUUUAUUUACAGCACAUUAUUACCUCAUCUUCACCAUUCAGCACACGCGAGCAGAUGACGUGGAGCUUCACCAGCAAAUAGUGGACCGAUUUUCUUUUUCUCACUCAUUUAUAUAUUUAUCGAAUUAUUAUUAUUAUUAUUACAGUAAUUUCCUCUCAUUUCUUUUGCUUCGUUCUCUUCACUCACGAAAACUCCAACCCUCUCAUUCCCUCGUUCUCGAAACUCACUUGCAGACCAAAACCCUAGCAAUUUCCCCAAACGCGACCCGACCCGACCCACACGCGAUUGAACCGGCAUGCGAAUCGCUGCGCUGAACCGGCGAAAGAGGAGGAUCUAGACUUUUCCGAUUGAGGGUGCAUUGACUCGGUCCGACGAUGGGCGCUGCCGGCUCCAAACUCGAGAAGGCUCUCGGCGACCAGUUCCCCGAAGGCGAGCGCUAUUUCGGCCUCGAGAAUUUCGGCAACACUUGCUAUUGUAACAGCGUUUUGCAGGUUUCCGUUUAAUUCAAUCCAAUCUCGCUUUUUGUUUGGAAAUUAGGGUUUGAGUUUUGACGGUGAUUGGUGAUUUUGGGGGUGAAUGAGGGUCAGGUGGAGGUUUGAGCUGGGAUGGGGUUAAUUGGGUAAUGGUAAAGUUGUGAAAUUGGGAAUAAUUUUAGUGCAACUUUGAUGUUUAGGUGGUUUAUAGUGUUGUGGGGUAGAUUGUGUUAGCAUUGUUUGUUUUUCUAUCGAGCGGUUGCGAUGUUGAGGUGAAUGGGUGAGCAUUUGCUGCAUUGCUGUUUGAGUGUUUUGUUGGUGUCGAAAGUUAGCUGCUACUAUGCAAAACUGGUGUUGGGUGAUGGCAGUGUGCCGUUUUGGUCAGUUUACAAUGGAUGAGUUAUUUUUGAAUUAUAUGUUCUCGUUUUUCCACAGUUGAGAUUCAGUGGAUUAAGAUAGAAUUGGUAGUUAUGUUGUCGCGAAGAUGCGGUCCAUUGAUUGAGUGUUGAAUUUUGGAGUUGAUUAAAACCAUUGAUUGAAUUCAAGUAGAAGGUGUCAUCAUUGAUUCUAACCUCGUAUUCUCAUCUGCUGAUGCAUUCUUAAUUUUUAUAACUUAAUUGUUCUUGAAAAGUUAGAGCUCAUCAUCCGACUGCAAAUAUCAAUCAUACCAAUAUAUUCUAAAAGACACUUUGUUUUGUUUGAAAAGAAUGCAAAAAAUCCAUGUGAUUGAUGUUUAAUCAUUAUUACUAGAAAUGACAGAGGAUAUCUUUCAGAUAGUUUAGAAAUUAGUUUUGUAAAGUUGCCUUCAAUGCCCUAUUGUUUUGUUGAUCCAAAGGAAAAUAGGCUUAUCCUUUUAAUUUCUUGAUGCAGGCGCUUUAUUUUUGCGUUCCAUUUCGUGAACAGUUGUUAGAAUACUAUUCCAACAGUAAGAAUAUUGGGGAUGCAGAAGAAAAUCUCUUGACGUGCUUAGCCGAUUUGUUUACGCAGGUAAAAACUAUAGUAGAUAUAUAUGACACAUGUUCAUGAAUGUGAUCUGCUUAGGUGUAACUUGGCUGAUGCUCACUAGUUUUCCAACUGUAAUGUUGUACCCCUUUCCACUAAUCCCUUUUUAUCCUCCACUGCCUUUUGGUCAUGAUAUUUAUAAUUUAUGGGUAGAAAGUAGAUAUAAUUUCUUGCUUUCCCGCUACAAGGUCCAUCUCCUAGGGCCUAAAUGCUCUUGCUUCACUGUGAAAUUGUGAAUUAAAUUUGACAUAAUACUAGUAUCUGAUGUAAGCCAGUCCAGUAUACAUCUCCCACCAGUUUUGCCAAGAAAUUAUGUAGUGUAAUGUUGCUCAAAAAACUAACCUAGUAUCCCCCUUGAAUAUUGUAUGAUAAAGUUCUUUAAACUUGUUAUAAUAGUUUUUUCUAGAGGUGUUCUGCAAUAGAACAUAUGUCUUUUGAGUCACGGUUCCAAGAUCAACUGAUGAUAUUUUCUUUGAUGCAGAUAAGUUCACAAAAGAAGAAGACAGGUGUAAUUGCUCCAAAGCGUUUCGUACAGAGAUUGAAGAAACAAAAUGAGCUCUUUCGUAGCUACAUGCAUCAGGUACGUCUUCCUUUCUAACUAGUAAAGUAAGCUUCUGCUAAAAACAAAGUACAUUCAUUAGAAAUUUAUACUGGAAAGAUGCGAUUUAUUUAGAAAAAUCAACAUGUUCACUGCUAUACUAUACGAUAGUAUUUAAAAUAUCAAGUAGAAGAAUAAAAUAUUAUCAUUUGCAAUCGACUUGAGGACAAGUCUUGUGAAGAUGGUAUCCUGUGCGUUCAUUAGGGGCAGUGGGAUGUCUCUUAAUAAGUAGUUUAACCAUCUGACUCAUUGUAUGUGUUUAAAGUGAUGGUGUAUAAUUGAAAGGUGAUGAAGCUAAAUUAACUGAUACUGAAUAUAUCUGGACCUCUUUGUAAACCCUGGAUUUUUACCAUCAGAGUAGGUCUAAACUCACGGUGUAAAAUAACAUAAUUGUUGGGCAUUGUGUAGGAUAGUUCUGAUGUGUAUUUGUAUAAUUUGGAAACAUGAACAAAUUUGCAUUCAGUUCUCACUUUUGGAUGAAGCUUUUCUCUUGUAAACAGGUUGUGAAUGUGGUUCCAAACGCUCUUUGCUGUUACUCAAAAUUAUUUAUGUGAUGAUAUAAGAAUGAAACUCUUUUCCUUCGGGUAUAUAAGUUCAUGCUUUCCUUUUAUUGUUACCAAAUCCUUUUGUUGAACAGUUCAAAAUAUUGCUACUAUCAAUUGUCUGCAUGUUUCUUGGAUACUUUAGUUCUCUUUAGUUUAUUACCUCAAAUAGUAUGUAUGAAUAACCGUGGUCAUCUUUUUCAUUCUGGUUUUGUAGGAUGCUCAUGAAUUCUUAAACUUUUUGCUAAAUGAACUUGUCGACAUACUGGAGAAGGAAGCACAAGCUGCAAAAAGUGAUCAAGAAACUUCUUCACCUCCUGAGAAGCUGGCAAAUGGUCCGAAGAAUGGUCAAGCUAAUGGUUCUCAUAAAGAUCCCUUAGUUACGUGGGUGCACAAAAAUUUUCAGGUGAUUUUGCUCUGUCAAAUCAUAUACUAGUUUCAGUUUCCUUGUAAUUCCUAAGUACAUCUGAUAAGGCCACCUAUGUGCCAUCUAUCUUGCGGGCAUGUCUAUACAUUUCUGAUGGUUUAUUGGUUGUGUUGUUGUUGGAGUCAGUGAAUUGCUCAUAUUAUUGAUGCAUAUGCUCAUUCUUUUUUUUUUUUCUUUUUUUUUUUCCCUCAUCCAAACAAUCACUUAAGCCUAUCUGCCUCUUCUACAAAGACAUAACAAUAAAAAUAAAAGGCAAAACACCAAAUGCCCACCAUGUUAUCUCCCACCUCUCACAUUUUCUUAAAGAAAUAUUAUUUUUUCUAUGCUUCCAUUAUUAAGAGUCUAAUCAUUGUCAAUGAUUAUUUGAGUCAGGGAAUACUUACCAAUGAAACAAGGUGCUUACGGUGUGAGACAGUGACUGCAAGAGAUGAAACAUUUUUUGACUUGAGCCUUGAUAUUGAACAGAACAGUUCAAUAACAAGCUGUUUGAAAAACUUCAGUUCCACAGAGACAUUGAAUGCUGAGGACAAAUUUUUUUGCGACAAGUGCUGCAGGUACAGAGUUCAUCUAUAAUUACCUUGCGUUCAUUAAUAUAUGCAAUUUGUACUAUUCUGUUUUCACUGUUAAACUUCGGAUGGGUUAGUACCAUUGAUCAUCACAGUUGGUCGGCUUCAAGCAUCUAAUCUAGAUAUUGUUCAAGAGUUUGUUUUUGUUUUUUUUUUUAAAUAAUUUUUGGGAGUUCAACCAUAGAGAAAUGAACCGGUUUGAAAUAUUUGUGGAGAACGGCAGAUUGCUUCCACUUUUUAUGAUUAUAUUUUGUUGGUUUUUCUUUCUUCUACCUGAUACAAAGAGCUUUAAACCAUAUGCAGCUUGCAAGAAGCGCAGAAGAGGAUGAAGAUAAAGAAACCACCUCACGUUCUGGUCAUACAUCUGAAGCGGUUCAAGUACAUUGAGCAGCUUGGCCGUUACAAGAAGCUAUCUUACCGGGUUGUAUUUCCUCUUGAGCUCAAGUUGAGCAACACGGUUGAAGAUGCAGAGUCUGAGUAUUCCCUGUUUGCAGUAGUUGUCCAUGUCGGGAGUGGUCCAAACCAUGGACACUAUGUUAGCCUUGUGAAAAGCCAUAAUCACUGGUUAUUUUUUGAUGACGAAAAUGUGGAGAUGAUUGAUGAGUCUGCUGUGCAAACUUUCUUUGGGUCAGCACAAGAGUAUUCGAGUAAUACAGAUCACGGAUACAUCCUGUUCUAUGAAAGCCUCGGCACCAGUAACAAGAGUUAAGAUUAAGAAGAAGACAGCUUUCGAUUUAAGAUGGUUAGGUAUUUCUAAUCAUAUGGACUUUUGUUUUUCUUCUGUUUCCCCGAUGUUUACUAUUUUUCUCGUUUUCCCCUUUUUCUAACCUGUGGGAAGAGCUGUCAAAUAUCAAUGAGAUGUGGUAUGGGUUGUGAAAAAAUGUAUACUUAGGUGGUUCGCAUGUACAGUGGAUGAUGGAAGCACAACAUCCUUUUUUUUGUUUCUCUUUCUUCUUUUCUUAACAAUAAGAAAAAGGGUAGUGUAUAUGGUGAGAAUAUUCAGACAGUAUUUAUUCUUCACGGUUGAGGGAAUGUUAACAUUAGAAAUGCCAUGAAUGGGAAUUUGCUCAUCACUCCUCUCUUAUAUGGAACCUUGUCAUCUUUUUGAGGUCUUGGUUUUGCUGGUGCAUACACAAAUCUCCUAGAUGCAUUCUCUUGCAAUGUUGUCUUUAUCAGCAACAAUAACAGCAGAUAACAAUAACACAAGCUAUUGAUGAUAUGGUAGUAAGCCAUAGAUGAGUGAUUUUGAACUGGACAUGUAAUUGAUCAACAUUUAGAUUAUAAUUUUGAGGUUGGCGCAGUCUAUCAAGCAUCUGAACGUUACUGAGUUAGUGGUGCGCCAAACUCCAGCAAGAAAUGUAUUUAUUGGUCACCAGAAUCCGGUAUAUGUUUGAACACAUACUAGGCAACAACUGUAAAACUAGUCAUCUAUCUUCCAUCUAGCAUAUUAGCUGUAGCUCAAUAUGCAUUUCCACCAUGGUGUACCUUCAAACUUUAAAGCAAACUAUCUAAAAGAAAGACUUGAGAAUCUGGUAUAUCUGCAGGCCCGGGGGAAACCCUUUAUUAAAGCAAUGGUAUCACUCAGUGAAUUGGGUGGUAAAUAAUUUCCGCACAAAUCAAACACCCUCAUUUUCUGCAUGUUUUUUCCAUAUUUGAGCACGAACUUUGCAAACGUGAUUGCACUCUCGGGGAUCAUCUUAUCAAGGCAGAUUUCGGCCACGUUUAAGUGACUAAGGAAAGGGCUUAAGUAUUGAACCUGAGAUUCCCAGUAUUGUUCUUGGGUGCAGUUGGCAUCAUCCAUGGAUUUGUUGUUCCAUUUACCAUCUUCUUCGCUAAACAUGAUCUCUAAGGUGUGCACCACGGGAGAGCUCUUGAGCAGGCAUGCCAAACCCGGGAUAUAUCUUUGCUUGAUUCCACCCCUAAUUCUCAAGGUUUUCAGAUUCAUAAAUGAGAAUGGUAGAUCGCCUAACUCAAAGUAUAUAUCUGAUAGAAUCCGGAGGAAGCCACUGAAUAUAUCGAAGUCUUUAACUUGGGAUGAUGCGGAAAGGAGAUUGACAACACUGCUAUGAUCAAUCUUAUUCCUUGUGAUGCAGGGAUCAAGAAUACUCAAGAAAAAUUUUGUGAGCAUAGGAAAGCUCUGGAUUGAACUCCGUGCAGUUAUGCCUGAAAAAAUCCAAGAAAAUGAUUGUAGAUUCGGUGCAAAUAUGUUGACCAGAGCAAAACAAAACCAGACUUCCAACUUCUCUAGUCUCGUUCCCGAUAUGUCCAGGCUCUUCAAAUGCAUACGGUACACCUCUAUAUGUUUUAGGUUUGGACAACAAAUUUUGAGACUUUUCGAGAGAAGGGAAUGAAGAACCAGAAAAGAAAUCCACACCCAAAGCCCUACUACUAUCCGAGAAGUUGACAUGAGUUAGAGACAAAGUAUGAAGUGAACGGAGAUAAGACCCAACAACAUAAGAAGAGGGAAACCCUUGCCAUGCCUUGAAGUCAACAUCAUGACUUUGAACCAGCCAUAGCUAAGCUGGUUAGCUUGACAUGCAAGUUAAUAGUAGUACUCUGCAAAGUGCAAACUUGCCUUGCUCAUUUCGCUUUGUUUUAUUUCUUUAUUUUCCAUUCUUUUGCAUUGCUUCGUAAAGUAACCAAAGAUCAAAAUUUAUAUCUUCAGUCAAGAUAUUCGACUUCCAAGCACCUUUGCAACUUUAACCUUUCCAAUGAAAGGUUUAAGGAUGAUUAUUGUUCUGAUCCUCACUUGUAUAUUAACAAAUCAGAAGUCACAAGAUGGUUGGUCAAACGUAAUGGAGAACAAAUAUCCCACGUUCGGAAAUGUAGGAAAAAUAAUAUACAACUUAUCCGUACCGCUCAUUUUCAAUUGUACCGAGGUUUUACCUAACGGCCAGUGACUAAGUUGAGACAAUAUUGAUACAACCCACUUCUGUCGCCGUUUAAUCCCAGAGAUCAUCUAUACAGAUGUGGUCAUACAUACAAAUGUUGUCAUCCAGGAGGGCAUUGGUGUCUAUGAUGUUAUAGUCCAUAUCAGCCGAUAUCCCAACCGAGUUGUUCACCACCUGCAACAUCCCGUUAUAAUCCAUAUCAGUGGAUUCCCCUUCUGAGCUGUCCACCACCUGCAACAUCCAUAAGAGUUCAUUAUCACUACAUGAUUAUAUGUUUCAUAACUGAAACUCAGGCCCUAUAGUCCAAAGGGCAGAGAAGAGGAUACGUACCUUUGUUUCCUGAAUCUCGGUGAAAAUAUUCGACAGUUGAUUGUAUUGAUCUCUUGCUUCAGGAAUCUGAACCAUGGACUUCACCCUAGCAAGUGCAUUUUGCAACCUUUCCUCUGUUUGCUUCCUUCCCUCUUUCAAAAAGUCAUAAUCAUUCUCCCUUGAGGAUGAAACUUGUAUGCUUCGGCCCUCAUCACUAGGUGGUUCUCGCUUGAACCCGCGCAAGCCACUUCUUUUACGUCUCCAACGUAAAAUGAUCUUCUCUAAAAUUCCUACUGCCCAUAGUAUCUUUGUAUAACUUUUCCUCUCCUGGUGACCUCUAACAUUUGCCUAUUACCAGACACCAUAGAAGUUCAAGAAGUCAACAAAACAGUAGAAAAAUACAACAUAAACGAAGAAAAAAAAAGAAAAAACUUUUUUACAAGACCAUCAUGGCAUUGAUGGCAAUAUACCUGAAUUUUGAGAAUUCUGCUCCGGAUUAUCAGAAAGUCUUUUAUAUUCCGAUUACGAAAUUUAUCAGGCGUUUGUAUUGCAGCACAACUCACAUGCUGGUCACAUUUCUUAUGUGACUUGACUGCACUGAGCGAUAGUGCCCCUUCAUCUGAAGUUUUUGAUUUAUCACCAUACUCUUUCAACUGCUUCCUUUGGAAAGGUUGUACACUGAAUACUUGAUGAAUACGAGCAGAAGCUUGGAUAUGAUCACAAACAGCAGUUGAACAAACCCUCAUGGAGAGCUCAUCCGCUAAGUCCCCAUUGCUGCAAUGUGCUGACAUUCCAUCUGGUUGUACUGAUUUUUCUCUUGAACUCUCUGCAGAAUGUGCAUCUUUGAUAUCCAAUUUAAGAGAUGAAAUGUGGGCACUCAAAGAAGAUGCUGCAAGAUAACCAGCAAUUCCUUUGUAUCCAUUUUCAGAAGCUAGGUCAGCUGGUGUUUUGCCAGUAGGAUUUUUGGUACAAGGAUCAGUUAAUGCUCCAGGAGCUCCACCAAGACUGAUGAGCAAAGCAACUGCGCGGUCUCUGAUAUUAUUGUUGUUAUUUCAAAGGGAAAGCAAACAAAGAGAAAUGAGAAAAACUGAAUAGAUAACUGAAGAACGAAAGAAUCUGACAGUGGUCAUAUCUGAAAUUCUGCCCUUAUAAUCUACAUAUCCUGACAAGUAAAUGCAUGCUUGAUGAGUGGUUUAGGCAAUAGUUACUUCUCAUAUCUUAUAAUGUGAAAAAUCUUACCAUAAUCACCCUGCAAGUUUCUUUUUUCUUACAUUUCUACAUAACUCUGUCUUUUAAGUUGGUAAACUGUAAACAGUACAUUCAGGGAAAACACCAGGGUGUGUUAUGAGGCAAUGCAUAGUAAAAAUGGUGAUAAAGAAAAAUAGUAAUAACUACGCGCAAAAACAAGAAACAAGAAACAAACUCGGUUUAAGGUGAUCACCUGCCACAAAAGGCUGCCCAAUGAAGUGCCGUCCAUCCAUUCACAUCACGAAAAUUGAUACUGACUCCAGCAAUUUUCAUGGGUGAUAAGACCCAGUCAUAGCCAAGAGCAGCUCCAAAAUGUAACACACCUUGGCCGCCUUCAUCCAGUACCCUUAAGCCAUUUCCACCAACAGCCAGCUUCUUCAAGAGCCAUUCAUGAAACUUAUCUUUAAGAAACUGUUGAAGCAGCUGCUCCUUUACUGUAUCCAAGGAAAACGCAUCUGGAAAAAGCUUUAGCAUCUCAGCUCUUUCCUCAUCACCAUUUUUGAGUAAUGAACUAAUUUUCCUAGUCAAAUCAGAAUUGUCUGAUACACAAAUGGGAUCAUACUGUCUAUGUUUAACCCUGGGAUUGAAACUUGGAUACAUAACGCUUGGGGACAGUAACUUCCCAAAACGCAUAACAAGUGUAUUUUCUUUGCAGCAGUUAUCCUUAAAAUCUGCGUCUUGUAUAUGGUUGACUCGGUACUCAAAUAUUUUCACUUCACUACAUGCUAACCUAUUGGAACAUGUUACAUAGAAGGGAAUCCUAGCAGCCCGAUGUAUGGGCGUAUGACAACGAAGAACACCAUCUGCUACAACCUCAGCGGGAACUUCUACUUCCCCAAACAUACAUGACCAACUAAAACUGUCUAAUUCUUGACUCUUCAAGAAUCUUCCCACAACAACAACCUGCAUUAAAGGAGAAAAAUUAGAAUAUCAUGAUACAAUGUAACUCUGACAUAGAAGUAAAACAAUUGAACCUCUUGGACCUUUCUUAAGAUCAUCCUGCAUUUAAAGCUUAGUUGACAUAGGAACACACCAGAGCGAAGAAUAAACAGUAAAUUACCUUUGUUUCAGAGCGUUCAUAUGCCCAGUUGGGUGAAAAGUCCAUAAUGUUAAAGAGAAGAUCCUGGAAUAGAGAAGAUCCCAGAGUAGCUAUUUCGACUUGCUUAAGAGCACUGAAGCCAUCAAUCCCAUUCUCACUUGCUAUAGUAUUCGAGUGGUCCUCAGAACUUGACAUAUGUGGCUCAGUUUGGUCUCCUAGAUUUGUAUUCAUACAUUGAUUGGAACUAUCAAGAUUCUUCAAUCUCCAGGGGUCAUUUUUAUUAUCAGAGUGCCUAUGCAGAGAAGACUCAUUUUGUUUAAUUAAAUCCAUAUGACAAGGAGGCCCCAGGGAAUUGAGUAACUCAUCUGCAUUGACUCCUCGAGGGAACGAAGUACUGGCAUGAUAUGAGAUAUCCAAAUGCACAUUCCGAUUGAUAGACAACUCGGAUGAACAUGAUAAGUUACCUUCAGAAGUCUGCUAGCAAUUCCAUCAAUAGCAUGAGCAUAAAUAGAAGAAUUUGAAGAGGCAAAUAUAAUCUCUGAACUAUUGCCAUUCCAACUGAUAUUUGAUUUAUCGACCAAAAAACUAUAUAUGAUUUAACAAUAUGGUAAAAUGAUUGAAUUUCUGGAUGUAUUGAUUGUUGCAGAGAAUAUUCUUGAAAGAAGAUAUCAUACUUCAAAACUUGAGGCCACAAAACUGCAAAAGAUGUGAUUCCACUAUCACACACAUAUAUGCACCUACAGUCCUAGACACAGUUACACACACAUAUGAGAUCUGUCUGUCGUAUUUUGCUUCCAAAGAUCUGAAUGUUGAUUUAAAUGGCUCUUAGAAGAGCAAAUAAAAAUAAAUAGUAAGAAACACAACAACAAAUUGGAAACACAGAAACGAUAAUACUGAGGAUACCUUUACAUCCCGGUAGUGGACCAGAACUAUGUGGGAGAGACGCCUGCAGCAGAAACAUGGAAAUAUAUAGAAUUAAGAGCUGAAGCAAUUAGCAUUUGAACUUUUGAACUUUUUCAAGGCAGGAGUUCAACUCAGCAAGCAGUUACACAGAUGCAUGUGUGUUCAAAACAGGUAAGACUUCAAUAAUAGAGAACUUUUAUAUAUUCUCCUAUAGACUCACUUUUCAAUCAUCCAAUAACAGCGUCUUUGGAAAUUUUCAUUUUCUUCACCAUGGGCAUAGUAGCAAUGUAACACCUCUACUCCUCCAACCUAAAAAAUAUACAAUCAUUGUUCAAUACACGAAAAGAAGAAACCCUCCACCAAAGUUAACUCUUGAUAAAGAGAAAAGCAAUUUUAAUUGGUAAACAACACACACACAAAGAGAAGAAACAAACAGAAAUAUGAGAAGAUUAAAAAUAAGGAAAGAGAAGGAGAGGGACAAAGAUCCAACUGAAACUGAUCCAAGAGAAACCUUUUGCUACAUUUAGCUGAAAAGACAAAUUAACAUAUGAGCGGCGAUAAAAGAAAAUGAAGUUUUGCUAGUCAUAUUUAAUCUUUGAUAUAUACGUAUCUGUGUGUGGUGUCUGCAUAAAUAUAUUCACCAUCCUAAUGAAUAUCUUGAAUGAUUACCUCACCAUCUUUUUCCUAAACCAGAAUUUUCAAUCAAUCUUGCAAAACCGAACUUGUAGAAUCAUACCACAUGUAGAAUAAAUCAAAAGUCACAGAUAACAGUUACCAGAUCAUCAUGAAACUUGUUGCUUGGACCGGAUAUAAUAUAAUUACCUUGAGCCUCUCAUGGGCUUCCUUCACUGCCUUUCCGUCUUUAGUCCUCUUCCAUUUAUAACCAUCUUUUCUGAAAGACCUGAGCACCUUCCGAUCAUAGAGAGACAAUGUUCCACCUAAACCGAAUCAUAUGGUCGAGUUAAAAUGUUUAUAGCCAUCUAAAUUCAAUACAUGCAAAUUGAAGCAUACAAGGAUCAGCAUACAUAAACAUAAAACUAUGAUUUCGGAAUUCGGAGAAUUUCAUACCAAACUUCAUCAAACUUUCAGUACAUGCAAUGCAAUCAAAACGUCAUACCCUCUGGAGUAUCUGCAUGCUCCUCAGAAAGCCUAAAUUUUGUAUGAUUCCGAAGAAUUUGGCAAAUUUCAGCAGGGUGUAACCAUCGAUGGUGUGCUUGUAAAAGUAUCUGAGGAAUCUCUGCACCACGCAAUCAAUAAUAUUACAACAUUAACUUGAAUCAGAACUAGUCAGUGCAAGCAGCAGUUUACCUAAUUGAUCAUCAGGACGCAGUCGCUUCCUAGCCGCCAUGAGUUGCUGUGUAGUUUAGCACUGCAAGUAUCAAACUAUUAUGCAGACCAUUAGAUUUUGGAAUGACAGAGUGCCUUCAAAAGAUCCACUUAAAUAAAGACUCAUUUCUGGCGUGGAAGUCAAAUGCAGAGUAGAAUCUACACCCGUGAUCGACUCUUUUUCUUCGCUAAAUAUCUGGCAGAGCAGUCUUCUCCAGCCGGCCACAUUUGGUUAAAAAUGGGACAAUAGGUGAAGGAGGUGAGUCAGCUGACAAUUACAUUUUAUUUUCGGGUCGAUUUUCAAAGGAAUUGAUUAUUCAAGAGUUAGAUUUUCAACCAUGUGGUCGAGUUGAUAAAAACUUUGUUAUAGAACCUCAAUACCCGCCGACGUUAAUUGGAGUUGAAUUCUAAUUUUUUAAUGGUUAGGGAAAAGAAACAUCCUGACAUGAACCCCUCAACGCGAAUUAGCAGACCCAGAAAGCCGUUGUUGGUACUCUUACAAAAAAAGCAAAAAAUUAGAUUUCCACAAGAAUGUGAGACAUUCACGCAUUCUUACCGUCGUUGAUACUCUAAAAAAAAGUUAGAUUUUCACAAGGAUGUAAGACACAUUCACACAUUCUAAUUUAUUCAUGUAUGUUUUUUCUUUUAAACGUAAUUACAUGAUUGUGUUGUUUAAAGCUAGAAGGCAUGUUACAUUAUAUGUCAUACUAAGUACGUUUAGCAGAGGCUUCGAGCACUAUGACAGGCUCUUCACUGUUUAAAGUCAGAAGACACGUUAGAUCAUAUAUUAUACUAUGUAUGACAUAAAGAGUAUGCAGCAAAAGAAAAAUAAUCUUACUAAGAUUUCAUGGCCCUUUGCUAAGAUUUCAUGUCAGCAUUAAUAUUUGAAUUGAACGAAAUCUUAACAAAUGAGAACGACUGAUAAAAAAGAGAAUACUCAAAAAGUAUACUUUUAAAACUGAGAAAAUAAAAAUUAAUAGAGACUAAAAUGAAGUUACUCUCGAUUCUCAAACUUUAAGAGGCUAAACUGAAUUUAAUAUCCUCAAACUAAUUAUUAACAAACAACUAUGGCUUACUCUUAAAUGUAGAACAGGGUAAAACCCAAAACAGAGUAAAGGAAAAUAAAUCAGAGAAAUUUCUAUAUAGAAACAAUCCUUCACCAAAACAUAAAGUGAUAAAACAGAGUUAAAGCUAGGAAAGCAUCUACUGCUCUCUACUCUGUGGUCUAAUACGCAAAUUGCUGAGUACCAAAACAAACGUUUUGUAUGCAGAGUAUAUACUAAUCAGACUAUUCAAAAGCAGAGUACAUAGAUAUGCAGAGUAUAUAUAUUGUUUGUGCAACAUGCGCGGGUCACAUCCAAAGUCGUCGUCGACGACGAUUACUCUGAAAUCAUUGGGUGUGCUUUGCAAAGCUGGAAGCUCUUUGAUUAUACAAUUAGCACAAACUCAUCGUAUCCUCAACCAAGUCAUAUAUGCGGAGUAACCUGGCCGACUUUUGAUAAUGCCACAGUAUGCUACAGAUGAAUUGACUCGUGGUCAUAUGUUGCAGACUAAUGCAGAGUAUUUCAAUAAAGAAAAAAAGAGUGCAGAGUUGAAGUCACAUCAUUACUCAAAAGCAUUCCUAGCUAAGCGGGACACGUACGUUAAGAGUAGCACUCUGCAAAAUAAUACUCGGCAAACUUGCUCUUCUUGACAAGAAAAUAGUUGCCUCACUCUCAUUUUAGCUUCCAGAGUUUUGUAUAUUUCCUAUAUAAGACACAGCAAGUUUCAUACUCAAACAAACAAACAACGAGGAGAAAUCAUAGACAGACCGUUCGAAGAUGGAUCUUAACGGUGCGGUUAGCCCUCAGAAUCAGCCAAAGUAGCUCGGUUUUAUUUGCCUUUGUCGAUUCAAUUUUUCUUUUUCUAAGCCAGUUUCUGCUUGUUCUAAUCAUACAUUCCUAUGCAGUAAUGUACUAAUGUUACUGAUUCAUUCUCUCAUGUAUCGCAGCACAAGGCAAGAGGGUAACGUCUCUCAUGGGGUGAUAUUGCACCAAUGUAUUUUUCUACCAGUCAUGGGCAUUUUCGGAUGGCUACUUCAACUGAAGUACACAUCUACGAAUGCAUCCCCAUUCGUCACCCACUACGUUACCAUGCUCAUGUUUAUCAUCGCUUUCUUUGUUUACUUUGGUUUCUUGACUGUGAAGAUUAGAGUCGAGGCUCCCAAUCCAAAUGUGAGGGAAUUCAUCAACAACAUGACCUUCUUGUUCGGAACUCUGGCCUCGAUCUUGCUACUUCUUAUCCUCGUUCGAGCUUACGGGUUGUUUGCCCUUCUCUUGUGGACGAUUUAUGUUGCAAGGGAUCUUGCAACUAAGAAGUCGUACAGGAUUGCAGUUUGUGAUGUCUUCAACAGAGUCAAAGAGAUGAUAAAUGGUCAUUUGGUGGAGAAUAAUGCUAUACGACCCCAACCACCGCCGCAUAUCGUUGCACAAAUCCAAGAUACAGGAGAACCAAAUGUUCUCUGACAAAGCAGAAGAGAGGAACUUUAAAAGAACAAUCGUACUGGUGACGUAUCACUAAUUUUGCUCAACCCAGUGCAACUCCCACCAUAGUAUUAAGAGAAGCUUCAGUUCGUUUCAUACUCAGAUUCUGAGGCCUGAAGAUUCAUGAUGCAUGCUUUUUUAUGGGGGUCAAGAAAAAAAAUUCAGAGAUCUCUUUUGUACACGUAACAACAUUAAGAGUUUAAGACAACCCAAAAGCCUUUAGAAGGAUGGUUAUAUAAAUUGCAGUUGCAGGUCUAUUAACACGAGAAGUUUAAGUUAAAAGCCAAAGCCAUUUGUUGAUACUUGACACUAUAUCUAGUAAACUAAUAAAUCAGAUUUUACAGAAGGGCUUUGUGAACCUUAAGUGAUUACGAAGUAGCUGUAGGCAUGAAAACGUCAUCAUCGAACAACGCUUCUAUGUCUAUGAGGUCAUCAUCCAUAUACGCUGAUGUCCCUUCUGAACUAUUCAGCACCUGCAAUAUCCAUGCGAAUUCAUUAAACAAGAGUCCCUCAGGUCACAAUAACAUAAAACAAAUGUAUCAUUUAGUAUCAGAAUUCUUGCAUCCAGGGCAUUAGAAUAUGGCUUUUUGUCAGCGCAAGUAUCAUUAAGACUUUUGUAUCAGACUCAAAAAUGUAAGAAGACCAAGGCCGACUUUAAUGCCAAAAAGUGGUUCUCAUUUACAAAUUUCAUGGUUAGCCAUCAUUCCCUGAUACAUACAGGCUACAUUUGUAUGAAGUGUGUAGUACCAGCAGUGAGUUGUAGUAGCAGUGUUACCACCCCAGAACACCGUAAAUCCCUAAACAACUGGCUCAAAUUUUGAAGAGAAAAGGGUAAUGGAGAGAAGCAUGACCUAAAAGAUUGAUUGCAGUAUCAAGACAAUUUUGAAACCUCCCAAGAAUAUUUGAUUACAUAGUAUAUGUAAUUCAUCAAAGGAUUUUAAAUCUAUAUUCUUUGGUUAAAGCUCAACUUAGACUUGAAAUGGCUGCAUAAGUGUAUACACCAAUAGAGAAGUAUUUACUAAAGAAAAUAAAUUAAUCCUAAGUAAGCCAAAGGGCAGGCAAGAAGUGAGGCUCAUAUUUACCUUUGUUUCCUGAAUCUCAGUGACAACAUUUAAAAGUCGACGAUAUUGAUCUCUUGCUUCAGGAUACUGAGCCAUGGAUUUCACCCUAGCAAGUGCCUUCUGCAUCCUUUCCUCUGUUUGCUUUCUUCCUUCUUUCAGUACAUCAUCAUCGUCCUCCUUAGUGGAUGAAACUUGCAUGCUGGGUCCCUCAGUAAGAGGUUCUGGCUUGAAACCGCGCAGCCCACUUCCUUUCCUUCUCCAACGCAGGAUGAUCUUCUCUACAAUUCCUACGGUCCAGACUAUCUUUUUAUAGUUUUUCCUCACCUGGUGACCUCUUACAUGGGCCUAUAACCAAACAGGAUAAAGAAGAAUGUGUUGUUACAAGGAACAAACUUUCAUCCAAAAAUUUAGGAAAUAUAACAGGAGGAAGAAAAAAACUAUCAAAGCAAUAUACCUGAAUUUUGACAAUCCGUUGUCGGAUUAUCAGAAAGUCUUUUCUACCCUUCCAACUACGGAACUUAUUUUGUAUUCGUACUGCUGCAGCAUCCACAUGCUCAUCACGUUUCCCAGCCUUAUGCGACUUGACUGCAAUAAGUGAUAGUGCCCUUUCAUUUGAAAUUCCAAAUUUAUCACCACCGUACUCUUUCAACUGCUUUCUUUGGAAUGAUUGUACCCUGAAUACUUGAUGAAUACGAGCAGCAGCUUGUGUCGCAUUACAGACAGCAGUUAACGAAUCCCUCAGGGAAAGCCCAUCUGUCAACUCGCCAUCCCUGCUAGAACCUGAAACUGCUUUUGCUCCUGAUAUCUCUGCAGAAUUUCCGUCCUUAAUAUCCAAAUUAAGAGAUUCAAGGUGUUUACUCAAAGCAGAUUCUGCAAGAUAACCAGCAAUCCCUUUGUGUCCUUGUUCAGAAGCUAGGUCUGCAGGUGUUUCUCCUGAAGGAUAUUUGGCAGUUGGAUCUGUUAAUGCUCCAGGAGCUGCACCAAGGGAGAUGAGAGAAGCAACUGUGCGCUCCCUGACAAUAUUAAGAAAGUAAACAAGGAAAUAUCAGACCAGUGAAUUCAAUAACUCAGGAAAACAAAACAUGACCCGUCUCCAAUAAGGACUUCCUGAGGGAAAAAAUCAAAAUGAAAGAUUUUAAGAUUGAUCCGGUUUGAGCAAUUCUGCCUAACUUAUCAACCAUAUAUCCAGAGAAGUAACACAUUUUCUUUCAACCUGUUGAGGGCUUUUAUCAAUAAUAAUUGUUUUCUUGUUUCAUAUCUAGAGGAAAAGAUUCCAUCAUUUGUUUCUCCAAUCUCCCUAGAAUCUUUAGUGCCUAGUCCCUCAAAUUUAAUAGCCUCAUUUGGUUUCUUCCUAGAACGCUACAAUAUCUCUGCAAGUUCCUGUCUUCUUUCUCUUAUUCAUUAGUUUGUCACUAUGAACUGUAACAUUGAAUGAUGAAACAGUAGAUUACGAAAUGGGGCAUUUCAAACCCAAUGGUAAUACAGAAAAUGGAAACGAGUAGAUGCCAGAACCAGGGAAAAUUGUUAAAGUUGAUUACCUGCCACAAAAGGCUGCCCAAUGAAGUGCUGUCCAUCCAUUCACAUCACGAAAAUUGACGCUCACUCCAGCAGUUAUUGUGGGCAAUAGAACCCAGUCAUAGCCAAGCGCGGCUCCAAAAUGUAACACACCUUGGCCACCCUCAUCUAGAACAUUAGGGCCUUUACCACCAGCAGCCAGCUUUUGCAAGAGCCAUGCAUGCAACUUCUCUUUAAGUAACUGUUGAUGUAGCUGUUCCUCCACUCUCUUCAAGGAAAAGUCCUCGUCUGACGUAAGUUGUAGCAUCUUGUCCCAUUCAUCAUUGUCAUUUUUCAGCAGAGAAGUAAUUUUACUGUUCACCUCAGAAUUCUCUGCAAUACUUGCUGGAUCACAAUUUGGAGAUGUAGAGCUUAAAGUCAAAAAAUUUCCAAAGCGCAUACUGAGUGUUUCAUUUGAGAAAUCACUGUAAUAAUCUUUACAAUCAACAUCUUGAGUUUCGGCAACUCGGUAUUCGAACUCCCUUACUUCACUACAAGCCAGCCUAUUGGAACAUGUCACAUAGAAAGGAACCCUUCCAGCCUUGUGUAUGGGAGUAUAACAACGAAGAACACCAUCUGCUAUAACCUCAGCAGGAACUUCAACUUCCCCAAACAUACAAGACCAUUUACAGCUUUCUGCAUGUUGACUUUUCAAAAAUCUUCCUGUGAUCAAAACCUGUAUAAAUUGAAGAAUAAAUGAGAAAUAUACUUGAGAAACUAUAAUUAUAUAUGUGAAACAAACAACAGCCCUUUUCCAAUCCCUGGUUGUCCUCCUAGACCAGAAGUAUAGUCACAGAGGCACAUUGGUAUAAGAGCAGGUUAUUUGGAAACUUAAAUAGUGAAUUACCUUGAUUUCAGAGUUUUCAUAUGCCCAGCUUGGUGAGAAAUCAACAAUGCUAAAGAGCUGGUCAUGAGAAAGAGAAGGCCCCAGCAUAUAACUAUCCAAGCGUACUUGCAGGGGAACACUGGACUCGUCAACCUCAUUCUCACUUUCAACAGUCUCCCAGUAGGCCCCAGAACUGGACUGCAUUUGUGGCUCAUCCACAUCUUCCAGUUCUUUACUCAUCCAUCGAUUGAAACUGUCAAGCUUCUUCAGUCCAUCACCAAACGCCCCAUCCAAAAGAGGCUUAAUAGCAGAAGGGUAAUCAGCUUUUCCCUCAAUGAUAUCAUUUCUCUUUGAAAUAGAAUCUGUGUUUGAAAGAUGAAAUUGAAGGUCAUUUUGCUUGUCUGAAUCCAUAAGGAAAGGCCCCAAUGACUUCAGUAAAUCAGUGGCAUCGGCUCCAUCAUGGAGCUUACUGGUGACAUUGUAUUGUGCAUGUGACUGAAUGCUCUGAUCCAUAGGCCAGUUUGAUGAUCCUUCAGAGGUCUGUUGGCAUGCCCAAUUAAUGUCAAGAGUUGAACACAAAUAGGCAAAUUUGAUGAGGUAAUAGCAAUGCAUAUUAGGGAGCAGGAGCAAUUUUCACAUUCCCCCAUUCAGUUUUUACAAAUGGAGAAUGAUAGGAAAUUAUUACUACAAGUAUCGGAUAUAAAUUAAUCACCGGAUCAUCUAAAUUACUUGAAUACGAAACAUCAGAUUUCCAUAAGUCUCUACCAUCCUUGAAAUUAUUAUACAAAUGUGCAUAUAAACAGAGCUCUUACCUGCCAACUUUGUUGGACCUUUGGUCUAUUUUCCAUCCCAUAGACCAGCCUUUUAUCAAAACUGUCUGUAUAAAGAUGUCCAAUUGUCUCAAUUUCUUGCUUAGGAAAGCUUCCCAUUGUAUCAGAAUGUGUUGCUGAAAAUGAUGGCUGAAAAGAUUGAACGCCAGUAGCACUGUUUUCCAUAUCGUCCCAUAAUGCAAAAUCACGAUCUUUCCUGGGCUCAUGGGUUAUUCCAGCAUGAAUACUAUCCUCCCCCUUAUAUGCUUGAGAGAGUGAACUAAAAUCCACCCCAGGAAUGGUUGACAACUUUUCUUGAAAAUCAUCUAUUAUAAAAAAAAUAAUAAUAAUAAAAAUUACUACCAAGUCAGUAUGCCAUUUAAUUUAACAAAUAAUAGCUAAUUAAAAUUUGAGAAAAGACUAUAAGACUUAAAGGAAUCAAAUUUACUUGAAAAGGUGGGAUAGUACGCAUCAGCAAACUCAGAAUUAAUCUUCUCAGCCAUAGGCUGCAACCGUGAACUUGCUUGGUUAUAAAAUGCUGCAUUGUAUGUCACAUUAGGUUAAUUAACUACCAGAAUAUAACUCAUGAAGAUAAUCAACAAUUUUACAACAAAUUACAAAUUGUUCCAAAAUAUUUGUAGCAGAAAAGCAAUUCAUGAGUCAUGACAAACUUUGUAAAAGAUCUGGCAUAUGGAUAACAAGAACCUGAUUCCGCAUCUUCGAACUCUGAUGCCUGUGCACUACUCAAACUUGUCGCCUCUGUAGUUUGAGAAUGCAUUUGAUAACUACUUGGAUUGAAACUAGAAGAAACAGAAUUCUCCAUCUCAGACUGGCGUGCACUUUGUUCAGCUCCGUUGGAAUAGGCAACACCUUCAGUCUCUUUAACAUGAUUAAAAUUUGUCCUAUUUCCCUGAUCAAAUAUAAAAAUUCAAGAUGAACAUGUAAUCAAAAGAAGAAUAAAAAAAUCAAGACGAAUAUCCAUAAGACAAAAUAAAAACCUUCACAUUUUAAGCUCUUGCAUUCUCUUUUUUAAAAAAAAUAAAAAAUAAAAAAUAAAAAAUAAGCUCUUACAUUCAGAUAUGUAAAAGUGAACAACAAACCAUAAUUUUCCUGUCAAAUGCUAGCUAGCCUGAGAAGAAGAUCGAAGUCCACGAAUAUGACAUUCACGUUUAGCAUUGAGCUCAUGCACUUUAUGGAGUACAAUUGUUGAAUUUAGGCAUCAUCUCUGCCACAUCCUAUCUUUACUAACAUUUAAAACUAGUUAAACUACCCAACCUCAUAAAUAUGUUCUCACUACGGCCCUACCCCAGGAGUGUCAAAUAUUGGAGUGCCUGAAUACCUAGAUGCAAACUGCAUCUCAAACUUUUAUUCUAGCAUGAUCUCAUAACUAAAAACCAGGGACUUGGGCUAGGUACAGAUACAAAGAGAAGUAAACAUUAAUUAAAGCUCAAGGUAAAAUAAAAAGUACAGCUGACCCAGAAAUGGCCAUUGUGUCAAUAAGGAAUCCACAUAUAUAGUCCACUCACUCCACUGCAACUACAAUUAGUAUUUGAAAAUUUCCUGGUAAAUGAUAAAAAGAGUUCUUGCUAAAUCACCUCAAACUAUUCUAUUGAUUGAUUUCACUAUUCCUUCGAAACAUACAAUUAAAUUCCCAUGAAACCAAACUCAGAUUAUUUUUUCUUUGAUACCCAUAGACCCCAAAACCUGGUUCAGACCAGACUUGAAACUGGGGCUGCUGCAGAACCCUACAAUCUGUAGUAGUCUAGGUAGGUAUCAUGACAUUGAGGGGUUUUGUGGCCCUGGCCAGUGGCCACAUGGGCCUGACAGUUCCUACUAACCCCUCAUUUGAAUCAUAAUGUAUAUCAGGGACAGCCACAUCUUCAAAAUAAAAAAAAAUAAAAAAAUAAUUGAUAAGAUCUGAUUAGGUGAUCUUGUUUAUUAAUAAAUCCUCAGGCGUUUUCUUUUCUUGAUCCACUUGCUCUCUCUAACAAAAUAGGAACUUACUAAAAAAAAUUACAAGUUCUGGACCUGGGAUUGCAAGAUAUGAGGUUUUUCUUCAUUUAUUUGAGAUUGAUACUACCUAAGAAAAGGGACCAUCUUUGACUAAUCCCGCGACCCUUAGGAGGGAACAUCCAUUUUUCUUCUUCAUUUUUUUAUGAUCCUUUAAGGGCGCGCUGCUUAAUUUAGUAGUACUUUACAACAUUGAUUCGAACGUGAAUCAAGUAUUGGAGCCAAAUCACCAUAGCUAGACACAUUUCUGGAAGUAUGCAUUAGAACCUACAUAAUUUGAACACUGACUGAGAUCAAGAUUCAAUGAUAUGAUAGAAUAAAGCAUUACCUUUACUUCCCGGUAGUGGACGAGAACAAUGUGCGAGAGGUCCCUGCAGGAGAGGUCAAGAAGGUCAGACAUCAUGAAAUUUUUUCACAAUUUCAUUAGCAUGGUUAAUAAAAAGUCUCCUUCAACUUCAAUAAGUUCACAUAAGAAGGCAGCCUUCAGGAUUCAAUACCGUAGAUACAAACAUAAAGAGUGGUGCAAUGCUUAGCCUCAAAUCACAAUGUACAUAAUACAAACUCAUUUACAAAUUACAAACUCACUCUUCAAGCAUCCAAUAACUGCGUCUUUGAAAAUUUUCGUUGUCUUCUCCGUGGGCAUAGUAACAGUGCAACACAUCAACACUUCCAGCCUGAAAGGAUGUGCAAUUAUUAUUCAGUAACUUCAACUAUAGAACAGAAGAAUCUCUGACAAAGUAACUAUUGGUGCAAGCCUAAGCAAAUAAAAACAUAAAAGACGGUAGUCUGGAAAGUGGGGAAGAGAGAGAGAGAGAGAGAUGCAGAGAAUAAUCAACGAUAGCUGCUCUAGGAACAAGCUUUAUAUACCCUUUAGCUGCUCAAUUGAAUCUAUGCAGCAUAAUUUGCCAGUUUCCAAGAUUAAAGUUAUCAUAGGAAGUUGAGCAUGUUCCUAACAUUUUCAAUCUUUAACAUACAAAUGUUCCCACCUAUACAAACGUACCCGCCUACUUCAUGAACAUUAAGACAACUUUCUUCUCCUCUGUUUUCUAAGCAGAAAUUUCUAUCAGCAUCAUCCUGCCUUAGUUCGUAUAAGUGCUGAUUUUACUAUCAAAUAGGGAUGCAAAGUAACCCCAAUAUGCUGGGCUUUCAACUGGUCAGACUUGGAUGGCUAGAUUGUACUGACCCUAAGCCCAAUAUCAGUCUCAAGGUUCAACUGAAGCUCAGCGCUUGCUAGUAAAAAGGAUAAUGAACUCAACUCAUUUGCUUUGAUGAGUCUACAAACCAACCUCAAUCUCAAGUUCACCCAAAUCUCCAUGAGUACUUGGAAGUGAUCGGUCUUCUGACAUUCCCAAAAUAGAACUUUUUCGGUUUAUAUCGAAUUCCAUGCGAACACAAUCGCAUUCACCAAGUUAUACUUCACGACCACAAUAUAGUCUCUCAAAACCUUAGCUCACCUCAUCAAUUUGCAGACACUAACAUCUACCAUCCGAUUAUGUAACACAUUUAUUUCAUACCAUAGCUCUUUGUCCCUGUGUCUUUCAACUUUAUGUCAAGUGCCUUAGGUUAUGGAAGUAUAAAGUAAUAUGAAUAGUAGAACAUCCAUUUAAAUUUGUUAUAUAUGAAUGUGUAUGUAAAAUCUAUAUAAUCAUAUUUGAUGCUUACCUUGAGCCUCUCAUGGGCCUCCUUCACUGUCUUUCCAUCUUUUUUCUUCCUCCAGUUAUGACCAUCUUUCCUGAAAUACCUCAGCACCUUUCGAUCGAAAAGAAAAAGUGAUCCACCUAAAAUAAAUGACGUAUGUCAAAUCAAGGCAGAUUCUCAUAUGAAACCAAAUAACAUUAUAACAACAAAAAUCAAACCACAUUAAAUGCAAAGUAAUACACUUACUUCGUAACUUGAAAAAUGCAGAUGUUGGGUAUUACAUGUAAAAAAGCAAUUCCAAAAGGAAACCAACCCAAGUCACCCAACUGAUUCUCAACACAAACACCAACUAAGAAAAACUUCCCUCCUCCUCAAUCAUAUAAUACUACAAGUAAAACUUUAUGAGGAUAAGUUUCUACUCCCAGAGACUUGUAACCAGCAGAUGCAGAUGGAAUAUAGAGUUCGAUUAUAAUAUCAUUCAAGUUAUUUUUCAAUACACAAUAAACCUUUACCAAGCAUUUUAGACACUUUAUAAUAUGCAAGCAUUGUGACAAUCUUGUAAGAGAGAACAAUCUAAGAUUAAAACGAAAAGUUUCCUACACUGAUUUCAAGAGGCAUUGAUCCACCAGUAACAUUUGUUGACAAAUUUGUCAUGGAAUACUAUCACAUAUGCCAGUUGAAAGACAUGCCCAGCCACAAAUGGUGUCAGGAAAAAAGAGCAGGGGAUAGGUUGAACGAGGGGGGGGGUUGACCCAAAUUUGAGAAAUACCAUUCAAAGGCUUCAGACGUGAUAAAAAUUUAUGUAGCAAAACCAAGCAAAGGUUUUACACAGUAUUAGUUAAUCCUCUAGCAAAGGAACAUAACUAAUAAUAUUAAUCGACAAAUCUAAAGCCGCCGAGAAGAACAUACCAGGUGGCCUCUUGCAGGCUCUGGAUACAUAUGAAAUUUAUUUAUAAUCUUGACGAAUUGCAUAUAUUGAACCUCACUAACAAUAUUUAUAACAAAUCUAAGCAGCUGAAAAAAAAAAACAUACCAGGUGGCGUACUUGCAGGCUCUGUAGAUAUAUGAAAUUUUUUAUAAUUCUGAAGAAUUUCACAUAUUUCAGCUGGACGUAGCCAUCGAUGCUUAGCUUCUAAGAGUAUUUGCUGAAUAUCUGCAUCCAAAUUAUCACAAUUAGUAAAUAUUCAUAUUUAAGAGAUAAUCAAACCACUAACUUAGCAUAAAUAGUUGAUGAUUUUACAAUUUAAUGGUAAAAGCGAAAAGAUGAUUUACAAGAUCAAUGUUGUUAGUCAUUAUAAGAUUAAGCCAACACUCUGCCUGACAGGAUAUGAGAUUUGUUUCUCCAGUUUAUUGAAGGCUGAACCCCAGAGGAUAGAGACAGUUGCAAUUUGACCCUAUUCGAAGUGUUGUGAUAUCGGCCAAUUAUGUAUGUCAAGGAACACAGCAAACCAAGAGAAACAACCACAGAGAUAAGACACAAAGAACACAGAUUUAGGGUGGUUCAGCAAAACCUUUGCCUACAUCCACCAACAUAAAACACUUCCACUAUAUUAAUAAUGGGAACACCAGAUAGUAUAAGAAAACAAGGACUCUCUCUUCUCUUCCUAUCUCUAUCCUCUCUGCCCUCUCUCACCCUCUAACCGAGAAUGGAACACACUUUGGUCUUUGCCUCUGCAAUACAAAACCCUAGAGCUGAACCCCUCCUUAUAUAGCCAUAAGGAUCUUCACCAAACAGGAAAUCCUAUUCGUAUUAAUGGUAGGCAAUAAUGCCUCCUUCCUUCUCUGUAAUCAACCAAGAUUACAGGUAUACCAUCAUCAAUAAGGAUAUCCUUUCCUUAUUGGAACACCAUACUCUAAGACGAAACAUCUUAGGAAAAACACAUGGGCUGGAAAGUUGGAUGUCAGAUGCUUUUGUCUUUUUCCAAGAGUGACUAACAUUGAUCCCAAUGGCAUACAAAAUGUAGUUGCUCUGAACUCCAAGAUCUAGCCUGUAUUUCAUGUCUUAGAGAAUUUGAAAGAAGACUGGAAGAUCUGUCACCCAAUUUCCUCAAAUACCAAUAAGGUCACGAAAAUACAGUCACUUUACAACCACCUGGGAAAAUUUGACACACACUGCUGUAUUUCCUAAAAGUUAUUUCUAGGAAAAAGCAUCCCACAUAGCAAGAGUCUCCGCAUAAAAAGUCUUCCAGACCAGCUAUGCCCUAAAUAGGCUACCCUUUGCGCUGGGAAUGACCCAGCUGAAGACUUAUCAACUUCAAAGAAGUGAAAGCAGUUUUCUUUUUUUGAGAGUUAGUAAGAGUUAUCUGCUACUAUCAAUACUGAGUCACCCCAGACCUAGUCGCACAGCAGGAGCUCUACAAGUGCUGAGUAGAUAAGCAAGCAGAAAGCUGCAGAUGGACCUAAGCACUAACGCCUAAUAGGUACUAGGAAAGCAAUCAUCUUAGAUCCUUCAUUAUAUUACCUUAUGUAUCAUUGAUGUACUCGUACUUAUACAAGACAUAAACUUAAAUAAACAAAGAAAUUAGUCAGACAAAGUUACUUGGCCGUGUUAGAUUAAUUAUUCUUUUCCAAAACCUUGUAUAAAUUCAGUGCAACUCUUGCAACUUUCAAUAAAGAUUUGAGAUUUUUUGGUCAAAGAGAAGCUUUUCUGAAGGAGGAAAACCAAAGCCUAGUGUUGCACAUCCGGCACAACUCAACCAUUGUAGUCUGAUAGUUCAACAGUCCACAGUACUAAAGAUUGAUCUUCCUAAAUGGGGCUGUCAUAUCGAUUCUAGGUGAAGCUCAGUUCUUACAUUCACAGAUAAAACAGUAUAGGCUGGGUAAGUCCCACCAGCAUGCGCGGACAAAAUGAGGAAAAUGGAGCAUGAUUGUGAUUAAAUCAUGCCCAAAUCUUCUCACUGACAGAAAAUUAAAGCCUAAAUCGAGGAUGGCUGCUCAGUUGAGACCCAUAGUGAACAGCAUCAACCACAUCAAGCUUCCUUCAUUAACAACAUAACACUCAUUUUUCUAGUAGAGUCUUCCUACUAAGCCAGAUGAUUAAACCCAUUGACAGUCCUAUCAACUUGUAGUUUCAGUUGACAUAUAAACUAAAUACAAAUUACAACACUGAAAUUAAACUACCCAGAAUCAAAUUUCGAUCAAAGAAUUCAUAUACAUAUAAACAAAUACCAAUAUCACAAAAAUCCGUAAGAACUGAACUUUAUACAGAAAUCGAUCAACAAAAACUGACCCAAUUGAUUCCCAAGACCAUAGCGCUUGGUCUCCGCCAUGAGCUCAAUCACAGUCUUAAGGUCCUUGAUCUGAAGGGUGUGUGGGUAAGUAAAGAUUAAGAUUGGGGGGAAGAGAAAAGGUGAGAACUUUGUGCGAUUUGGGGGAAGUGAAAAGGAAAGUUGGGGGUGACCAAAAGAAAGAAGGAAGCUUCUGAGGAAGGUAGAAAUGGGAGCACAAAUAGAAAGCCAAUGCCUUGGCCCACCUUUGUUGACGUCAAGAAUUCUAUCUUUUUUAUAGUUUGGGGUGGCAGUCAAAUUGACUCGGUUUGGGACUUUGCCUCCCUUCUUCCUUCCUAGAUUUUAUGGGAGCGUUUACUCUUCUUCUUCUGUGUUUUUGUACGUACUAGAUGUGCCUCCCUAUAUAGGUCACCGCCCAUGUCAUGGGGGAAAUAAGCUAUGAUCUUUUUGGUUUAGUUUAGACCCACCAUGUUGGUCUUCUUAGUUCCUUCCAUAUUAUGGUGAUGUCCAUAAACUAGGCAACAUCUAGGGCUAAGAUUAGUGUGUUAAUUUCUUAGUUCCUUCCAUAUUAUGGUGAUGUCCAUAAACUUGGCUGCAUCUAGGGCUAGGAUUAAUGUGUUUGUUUCUAUGUUUUUAUUAGUUUUAGUUCUUGGACGCCACGAAGUAAUGGUGGCCCUCGAUCGGAUGGAUGACUUAGCUGUUGAUGUUGAUUACUUUAGGGGAAGUCGUGAAUCAGACUAUAGUUGUGUCACUCGGGCCAUGAGGUUAAAAACUUACCAUCUGUGUAAUGAAGGUAAUGUGAUACGAUGAAAGAGUUACCCAAGUCAUUUCAUACGCGUAUACUUAUUGUUAUACAUGUUUACCGGUUAAACAAUAAUCACGUAACAACUAUAACCUGUAGCAACUUCUUAACUAAGUAACUUCUUAACUCUAAAAAUUAGGGUGAGAACUUCACACUGGAAAUGCGGUAGCGCACCACACCACACCAGUCUGUUUAUUUAUUUCAUUAAUUAAUUAAUUAAUUAAUUUUUAUUAUUUUUAAUACAUAUAUGUAAUUUAAAUUUAUAUCAGAGGCCCAACUCGUAACACCCCCGCAGCCCAGCCCCUUAUCCCUUAACCAUAAGAGAGUAUCUCAGCAUCUCACUAUCACUUAUCAGAGACUUGUCAAUUUGAUACUUCGAAUAUUUUAUGACUAUUUCAGGUUUGUAAUAUUAUUUGGUAAUUUUGGUCUCUUUGAAUCGUUUUAUGACUAGCUUAUUGUGUUUAAUAACUUGUUGUGUUUCUAAUACACACAUAGUCUAGAUUUUGAUGGUGUUUGUUUUAUUGUUACGCCUAGUUAUUGGGUUAAAUAGAAUUUGCGCCCAAUCCGAAACCACACUGAAACGAAACCGAAAAGCGGGUCACCCGGAUAUCUAGAUUGGGUUUUUUGUAAGGGAAAAUUCCUAUUUAGUACUAAUUUAAACCCCUUAUUUCUCAUUUCAAUGAAAAUCUUUUUCAUUAGCCCAUUUCAAUAUAAGGUGACCUUUUUUAUGCCCAAAUGCACAAAUCUUUAUUCCCAAAUGCACAAAUCUUUACUAAAAUCUUAACAAACCAUAUUAUUUUAAGACUAUUUUGCCCUCACCCCUUACAUAUGCAUAGAAAGAGAAAAUAAAAGAGAGAAUACUUGGCCGGAAUCUCACCGGACUCUUGUCACCGGCCGUCGGACUCCGGUCACCAGAAUUUUUCCAACCGCCGGACUCCGGUCACUGGAAUUUCUUCGACCGCCGGACUCCGGUCACUGGAAUUUCCCCGACCGUCGGACUCCGGUCAUCGGAAUUUCCCCUGUAACUAGUUACUGACCCCCAAUAAUCAGUUACUGACCAGUUAAUGACCCUUAAUAACCAGUUACUCACCAGUUACUAACACCCAGUAACCAGUUUCUGACCCCCAGUAACCAGUUACUGACCCCUAAUAAUCGUGUUAUUAACCUCUAAUAAUCAGUUACUGACCCCUAAUAAUCAACUUAUUGUAAUAGAAAAGAAGAAAUACCAGAACAUAAUCGAGUUAUUGACCGCCAAUAAUCAAUCAAAACUACAACACGAAUAAUCAAGUUACCUAUCAGCUACAAAAAUACAACUACACCUACCGCAGACCCAUGCACCCUCACACACCGGAUCUACUCCCUUACCAUGCGCCUUCCCUCACCGUACCUACUCCUCCCUCAUCAAAACUGCUUCACCUCCCUCACCACGCACCCGACGCCUUCGAUCUGGCCAUGGAGGCCGAGCGCCCGACGAUCGCCGAGCAUCGAGAGAAGACAGACGACCGCUGAGUGCCGAGCUCUAAGAGAAGAUCAACGACAGCCGAGUGCUGGCCAACCAGCGCCGAGAGAUGAGCCGCGACCGACGAGCACCUAGAGACGAGAGGAGGUCGGAGGAGAGCAGUGCACUCAUCAGGAUGUGGCGGACAGACCUCCCUCAAUAGAAGAGGUCGCCGACGAAGGAUCUGUGUGUGUGUGUGUGAGAGAGAGAGAGAGAGAGAGAGAGAGAGAAGAGAGAGAAGAGAAAGAGAAAAAGAUGAGAUUUGUAUGGGUUUAAUUCUAUAGAGGGUAAUAAUGUCUUUUGCAUAAGAAUUAUUGAAAUGGGCUAACAGAAAAGAUUUACAUUGAAGUGGGCAUUAAAAUCCCUGUUUUUUGGCAUUUAGGCAUUUUCCCUUUUUGUAAUGUGGAUAUGGUUUAAAGAAUUGUCAAACCAUAGAAAGUGGAUUUGAUUAGGUUUGACCCUUAACCUGCACCACACUAACCCGCGCCCACCCAUAGUCCUACCCCUUAGUUGACGAGUCCCCCUAUCUCGACUUACCUAGGCGAACAUGAUGUUGGUGGAGCAUUUGCUUAAUAAGCUUGGUAUCAUAGGGCAUUCUCGGAUUCAAGCUUUUGCUAUUGAUCGAAGAGGAAUCAUUGAAGGUAAUGUCUGCAUAUAUGUUCAGUAUAUAUAUUGUUAUUUGACAUUAGGACAAUAACUUCAUGAGGUACUUGAAGUUACCCCAAACUAGGUAAUGUCUUUCAUUGAAGGUAAUGUCUGCAUAUAUGCUGCUUAUGUUGUCUCAUAAUCAAAAUAACAAUUAAAUGGAUCCUAAUUAAUGAAGUUAAUGACAUAAAACUUAGAAAUAAUGUUGCAAUUAGCUACUAGAAUCUCGGAGGUGUUAUUAGUGACCGCAUGUAAUCCAACAAGAAGUCGAGUAGCGCUAAAUACACUGAAAAAUUGUACAAAAAACGAAUACCAAAUUAUAUGGCAUAUACCACGUCAUCAC